rnacentral:lncRNA from 1 species
UUUUUUUUAAAGUUUAUGUAAUCAAGAUUCACAAAGUUUCCGUGAGCAUGAACAAAGUUCAAGGCUAGCUCCCACUUCAACAAUGCUUGUCUUUCUCACUUUCACUUUCCUUUUUGAAAAGUUUUUAGGUUCCCCUCUUUAUUUUUUUUGUUUUUAAACUAUAUAAAAGCACUCAACAGAAAUAAAUUACUCUCUAAAACUUCCGGGUGUCUCCCUGGCAGCGCUUUCUUUAAAGCCAUUAAGCUAGGCAUAUAGUGCUCAAGUAAUGGAUCCACCUGGAUCCCAAGGUAUAUCAAAGCCAAUUUUAAUUAGCAAUGAUUUGUAAUUUAGUAGUGAGCACAAUGUAACAUAUAUCAUGCAACAACGAAGUCUAACUCUCUUCCUAUGCAUCGGCAUGUCAUAAAAGAACAAUUCAUGCACACCAAGUAAAGGCCAAUGCAUAGUAUAAGCAAUUUCUUGCAAUUCUAUCGUAUUGGAAACAUAGAGAGGUGGAGAUUGUCGGCGUUCUGGGAACGGGGGUACCCAGACUUGCCUGCCUGCGGCCUGCGGCGUGGCUCAAGGAGUGGCCCAGUACGGCCCUCGCGAGGGGCCAAGCCUCGCGAGGCGGACGACAGGAUGCUUCCUCGGGCACAGCCUCGUCAGGCUGGCUCACGAGCAGGCGGAGAGAUCAAGGCGGGGUACCUCACAAGGUGCCCAUGACGCAAGCCAUGACGACCGAGGACAGGCGGGCGCCAGGCGGACGCCGACCUGUGCAGAGUCCUUGUUUCCUCUUUGGUGCAAAGGGGGCAAGCGCAGGCGAGAGUAUCAAGCAAAGGCAACCAUUUCUGUGCAACAAAACCAAGACCAGCAGGACAGCAGAACGGAGGUCAUCGUGGAGCCCAAGCCGGCGUCAUCGUCAGGGUCUUUGGUAGGCGAGGACCAACUUUAGUCAGGAUAAGUGUACUAGAUGUUCCCCUUCAAAAUGGCCAAUUGUUGGCGCCCUUCCCACUGAAUAUUUGGGGAGAGGCCCAGGGCCUCCGCCUAUAAAUAGGACUAGCCACCCACAGGGUAGAGGCAUCGGCAUCUAGAGAGAGAGAGAGGCGACUGAACUCCCCCUAGCAGUUCAGCGCACCAACCAAGAACAGACCCUUGCGAGGCUGUUCUUCCUUGUACUAUUCAUCAUCAGCCCCUGAGGCAAUCCACACACCACAAACUGGAGUAGGGUAUUACACCACAAUGGUGGCCUGAACCAGUAUAAAUCUCGUGUCCCUUGUGUUGCUCUUCGUGUAGUUUUAGAUCCUUGCGAGGCGACGAGACAUGGGUAGGCAGGAGGUGUGAUCUCCGCGUGUACCCCAGAGUUCGAACCUUGAGGGUCUGCCGGAACCCGAAAUCCGACAUUUGGCGCGCCAGGUAGGGGUGCACCGGAAUCUGCCUUCCGUCGCCUCAUGUUUCGCCGCCCGUCGCAGCCAUGUCGGACGCUUGUCGAGCCCGCGCCGAGCGAUGGGCCGCUCUCACCACUCGCGUUGCCCAGACACGCCCCCGUCGGUGGGUGCCCCCGCAGUUCCCCGUCGCCUACCGUCAAUGCCGCCACCGGCCCGGCGGGGCACGAGCAGCAGGCGUCGUCCCUGCAUCCUUCGGUGCGGCGAGAAGGCCGCCCCGCCACCCCGUCGCUGACUCCAGCCGGCUCCUCGUCCCACGCCCGUCGCGCUCCUGCGGACGCGCACGCUGCGCUGCUCCUGGCGCGGGAGCUCCUGCACUAUCGUCCCGUCGAGGACCUCUAUGACGAGUGGCUCGCCCGCAUCAUUGAGCUCGUCAGCGCCGCUGGGGGCUCCCCUGCGCCAUCCCUCUCGCUGCACCACGCCCCGCCCUGCGCGGGCGACAAAGCUCCGGGGGCGCCUAAGCCGCCUCCCCCUCAAGAAGGCGCCUUGGCCCCAAGGCGCGUGGCCCCUGGGCGGAACCCACUCCGUCCGGUGCCAGCACAACAAGAGAAGAGCUGCCAAGAGAUCCCUCGCCCCCAAGAAGCCGCCUGUGUGCUCCCUGCACCGGCCCGAUACGAACACGCUCCCGCUCCAGCGCAUCAAGACCCCGCGCUGCACCUGGCGGCAGCGCACAAGGACUUCCAAGAUCAAGCUCUCCGUCACCCAAGGCCUCUUGCGGCCACUGCAGGCUGCCGUGUCUUCACCGCCGAGCUGCGCAGCGUGGCCUGGCCGGGCAAGUUCAAGCCAGAUCUGCCCCCGCGCUACGAUGGCAUGGCUGACGCUGCGGAGUUCCUCCAGCUCUAUGAGUUGGGCAUUGAAGCCGCCAACGGGGACGAGGAGGUCAUGGCAAACUGGUUCCCCAUGGCGCUCAAGGACGGCGCCCGCACCUGGCUCCUGAACCUGGCUCCUGGCACGAUAUCCUCCUGGGACGAGAUGCGCAACCGAUUCAUUGCCAACUUCCAAGGCACCUGCGACCGGCCCCCAGCCAUGAGCGACUUGCGCCGCAUCAAGCAGCAGCCGGGAGAGACCCUGCAGAAGUUCAUCCAGUGCUUCAACAGCGCUCGCCUUAAGAUCCCCAAGGUGUCUGAGGAGGCCAUCAUCUCAGCCUUCUCCUAUGGCGUACGUGACUUCAAGAUGAAGGAGGAGCUUGCGAUCCAUGAGGACCUGUGCACCUCCCUGGAGCUAUUCAAUUUGGCGACCAAGUGUGCUAGGGCUGAGGAAGGGCGCCUUUCCCUCCCUGAGCUGCCAGCUGCUGACCCAGAAGAGAAGAAGCCCAAGGCCAAGGACGUGAAGCGCAAGGGGGCUGCCGUGCUUGCAGCAGAGCCGGACACCAAGCGAGGUAGGGAUCAGCCUGAGUCAUCUAAUGGCAGCCGGUACUGUGUGUACCACGACCUCCACACCCACAACACCAACGAAUGCCAAGAGCUCAGGGCCGUGCGGGACGUGCGUGCCAGCCGACGCCCCGAGCGCAGCGACCGGGGCUAUGGCCGAGGAGGAGGAAGAGGUGGAGGACGAUGGGAAGACCGUGGCCCUCGCCAAGGGUGGCGCGACCGACCUCGCGAGGACCGCUGGCAGGACCAGCCUCGUGAGGGAGGUUGGAGAGACCCACCUCGUGAGGGGGUUGGAGGGAUCAGCCUCGCGAGGAUCGCCCACAAGGCAAUGCAGGCCUACCUCCUCUGCCACCACAGCCGAGGAGGAAUGAAGACCAUCAUCAGAACGAGGGAGCUGGAGGCUUCCAGGGGCCACGCGCAAUCGCUUGCAUCUUGGGCGGCGCUCAAGCCCCGGCCUCUCAGCGCAUCUUCAAGCAGUUUGCUCGCGAGGUGAAUGCAGUCCUCCCCAAGCUUGAGGCCACACGCCCUCUCAGGUGGUCAGCAUGCGCCAUCACAUUCAGUUCAGCGGAUCAGCUCAAGUGCGCGGCCACAGCCGGAGUCCUCCUGAUGCUUUGUUCCCCAAUCAUUAUCAAUGUGCAAGUCACCAGGACCCUCAUUGACGGCGGAGCAGGGCUCAAUGUCCUAUCCGUCGAGACGUUCAACAAUCUCCAAGUGCCCUACAAUCAGCUGCAGCCAACCAAGCCUUUCUCGGGAGUCACUGAUGGUUCCACGGUUCCGAUAGGGAAGGUUCGCCUUCCUGUUACCUUCGGGAAGCGCGACAACUACCGCACCGAGCUCAUUGACUUCAACAUUGCUCACAUUCGCCUGCCGUACAAUGCCAUCCUCGGGUACCCAGCCCUGGCCAAGUUCAUGGUCGUGACUCAUCAUGGCUACAAUGUCCUCAAGAUGCCAGGAAGCGGUGGAGUCAUCACGGUGCCUUGUGAAGAGAGGGACGCUGUGUGUUCUCUGUAGCAUGCUUUCCAAGCCGCAUCAAUUGAAGACCCAGAUCACAAGAGCGGGAGGCUUCCCGAGGUUGCCCCUUAGAAGAAGAAGACAUCGCCUGGCCCGGCCCCUCGGGAGGCAGGCCCCUCAGGGUCCACGCCUGUUCAGGGGGCGCCUCCUUCUAUCGCAUAGGAAGGCGCGCCCGGCGCCCUCCUCGAGCAAGGCUUGGGGGCUCUCUCCUGGAGGGCCAUCGACUUUGCUAGGAUCACGAGGGAGGCGCUCGGGCACCACUUGGAGGCAUGCUUCAAUGCACGUUUCCCUCAGGAAGGAGCCAGGCAAGGAGGGCCAAACCCUCGGGAGUUCGUCAACGAGAUCAUUCAGGAGCUGCAGGAGUCAAGAGUCAUGAGUGGCAGCCGCCGUUUACCUGCCGUAGCUUCCCAUCCAGGAGAGGAUGGUGGGCUGCGCGUCUACAUUGACAUACCAGGACUCAACCGAGCCGCCUCUCAGGAGCGCCUUUGGCCCUCACGCGUGGGACGCUGUGAAGGUCCACCCCACAGCUAUGUUCGCAUGCCUUACGGCCUGCCGAACGCGGCUGUCACGCGUCAGCGCCUCAUGAGGAGCGUCCUGGAGGCCCAAGCGGUCAGGCAUUCCACAGUCCUGGCGGAGAUGGAGAUGGUCCGCGAGGAGCCGCCGGCGCCCCCGGAGCCUCCUGAGGCCCCUGGGCCUGGGGGCUCAUGAAGAUCGUCUCCCACAGCGCACGCCGUCCGCUACUUCAGCAUCCCUUCAUCUUCAACACCAUCAGGUGACAUCCUUCGAGUUUCAUUUUCAGCUGGGAGCGCCCCCCGGGCUGCAUCAUUCCCAGGCCGCAUGGGUCCGUCCCUGCGGCAUGUAUCCCUUUGGUUCAUGUUUUUGUUUACUUUAUCGGGGGCGACCCUCGGGCUGCAUUAUCCCCAAGCCACCCGGGCCAGACCCAGUGGCAUGUAUUCCUCUCGCGUUUAUUCGAGUCGUGCGGUUGACCCAUCAUGAUCGUUAUUUGAUGCCUGUCCACGACACCCUUCUUCCUUCAUGUCAGCCGCUUGCACGUUAAAGGGGGGGGUACCUGAGCAUCGCAACUCAUGGGCUCUUACUGGCUCUCCAGCCCUCACCCUCUGGCCUUGUCCACGGCAUCGCGACCUGGCAUACCGGCGACGGCUGAGCUCGCUCGAGGGCCGGGACCCAAGAACGUAGAGCGCCGACAUCUAACCAAAUUUGCAGGAACACAUUACAAGUAAAGGCCCAGAGCCAGGCGCAACCCGCCUUGAGGUAGGGCCCCGUGAGUCCCGCGCUGGCUCAUGGGUGCCCAGAUACACCUCGGCAGGCCCUACUGUGCCAGCCACAUGUCAGGGCGGGGCUGUACACGCCCCGGGGGCUCUUCCUGAAGGGGAGCCCCCUCCCACGCACCAGUGGAAGCACCAUGCUCCGCGCUGGCUGACGACACUGCCGAGGAGCGGCUAUGCCCGUACACAUACGAAAGCGCUAUGCUCCACGCUGGUGAUAAACAACUAAGGGUGCCCGCCGGCCGCAUCAACCUCAGGGAGCCCAGAGCUCAAUGCCUGGCCCCAUCGUAACGCCUCCCCUCAGGAGUGCCGCGCGAGGGGGGCUGGGAACGGGGGCUACGCCUGGGUCAUGCCCAGGCGCACGCCACCCAGCCAGGCCCCACGGGCCUGGCUCGUCGCAUGCCUCUCCCCAAGCGGAGCCAAGGUACAAAGGCCGUUUGAACGUCAAGGGGGACUCCUGAGCAUCGCGACUCAGGAGCCUAACUGGUCACGUAGCCCCUCACCCCUUAGUUCCAAAAGGCUAACGGCGGUUGAGGUAUGCGCGGGGCCGGGCUCUGCCGACAUAGAACGGUAAAUUUACCCAUACAUCUCACCUCCCUACUUGUUGUUCGCGCGUUAAGGGGGACUCCUGAGCAUCGUGACUCAGGAGCCUAACUUGUCACGUAGCCCCUCACUCCUUGGUUCCGUCCUGGUUUCCGGUCGGGGCUAAUGGCGGCUGAGGUAUGCACGGGGCCGGGCUCUGCCGACGUAGAACACAAGCAAGUAGGAAGGAAAAGUGCAAAUCUCAAGGAAUUCAAAAGCAAAUAUUACAGUCCAUAGAGUGCUUUGACAACGCCAAACACAAGUUUAAACGCCUCCACGAGGUAGGGUGCAUGUUGCAGGAACUAAAAGCAGGACGGGAGCCGCAAAGGGGUCACUUCCUGGCGGUGCCAUCGCUGGUGACAGAGCUGCGCUGGGCGACUUCGCCUCGUGGAGCCUCAGGAUCGGCAGCACCUCGCUUUGGCUUGGUGCUGAAGGCCCGGAACUUCGCCAGCAGAGCCUCCGCUCGACCCUUCACGGCCUCAGCAGUGAUGGCGGCAAUCUCGCUGCUCACAGGCUCCAGCAGGCUGUCAAGGUCAACGCCGGGGUCACGGAGGUAGACAUGGGUAAAGACGCGCGUCAGCGCUGCAGAAGAAAGGACACGCGCCUCAGCCUCAGCCGUGGGGCCAAGGCCGAGGGUGAAAUCUUCAAGGGCGUGGACCAGGAAGGGAAGCAGCUUGGCGGGGUCGUCCUCGGCGCCGGCCAGUGGACUUUCCAGGCCGCUGUCAUAAAGCGACUUCAGCAAGGUGCGAGCCUUCACCUCCAGCUUCGCGAAGGCCACGCAGUCCUCGGCCAGGACCCGCGCCUUGUCGUCCAGCUCGAUCCUCUACGCCUCCAACGCCUACUCCAGCGCACCCAAGCGGCCAUGGUGUUCAUCAAGUUUGGCAUCCCGGUCCUUGGCGGCAGCCUCACGAGCCUUCAUGUCUUCCUCCUUCUCCUGGCGGACACGGGCCUCCUUGGCAAGCUGGUCGCGCAGGCCUUGCAGCUCACUCUCCAGCGCCUUGCAGUGACCCCGGACAUCCGCUACCUCACCCAAGGUGGCAUCGCGAGCGGCCUUUGCCUCAAGGAUGGCAUGCUUCUCCUCGUCGCAAGCUGUCGCGGCCUGAGUCAGCGCCACUCAGACUGAAGCAUCAGAGCAGACCCAGCCAGAGCCAGCUCCAGGCACCCGGCCACCAAGCGAGGGUCAGUGCCCAGAAGAUCUUUCCACAGCCAGUUCAGCUCAGCAGCAGCCCGAUCCAGGACAGUGGAAGGAGUCGGAGAGAUGGCAAUUGGCGGAGUAGGAGGAGAAGAUGGCAGCGUAAUCACAGCGCCAUGAAUUGGGACCUUCUGCGCCCCGACGACUACGGUACUGGCAUCAGGCAAGGACACCUCGAGAGUUGCUUGGGCCAUGGGGGCUGAGCUCGCCCUAGCUAGCCCCGCCAGGCCUCGCGAGGAUGACCGGGCAGGAGAGGCCCGCGUCUUGCCGCCCCCUUCUCCCGUGGAUGGAGGUGCUGCCCCGAACAAAACCUCAGGAGCCCCCUUCAGCUUUUUCGCCGCAGGCACCGGCCUAGCCAAGGAAUAUGGACGUCAAGCCUCAACAACGAAGCAAGAAGCAAAACAAAAAUCAAGCACUUACUGGUCAUCGCUCGCAGGCUCAAGCAACCUCCGGCCGAACUUGAAGCCCGAGAGCCGGCUGCUGGGAUCAACCUCAAGAGACUCGGGAGCAGGAGGCGCGUCUGCAGAUCGCCUCGGAGACGGAGCAGACCCGCGGGGAACCAGCCCCAUCCUGUCCUUCUUCGGGAUCAGGGCGAGCUCUCACCACCUCGCUCGUCGCCAUCCUCAUCGUCAUCCGGCAUGAGCCGAAGAGCGCGGUACCUGCACCGAGGGAGGGGCGCUCUAGACUCCCCGUCGGUCGUCUCGGAAUCGGGCUCCUCUUCCUGCUCCUCUUCUUUCUCCUCUCCGCUGGAGUCCCCGAAGGAUACGUUCACCGUCGCCAGGGCUGCCGUGUCCUCAGGAACCUCUGCGGGCACAUGCCCGUCCCCGUUGAAAGCGGACAUGGAAUUCACCACCUGCUCCCAGUCAUCCCGGAGGAACAGGGGUACGGGAGCAUCCUCCAAUCUCGCCACGUCUCCCCAACCAAGGAUUGGAGGACCGUGGCCAGAUCUUCGUCGGCCAGAACUUCAGGGUUCGGGCGAGGGGCGNNNNNNNNNNNNNNNNNNNNNNNNNNNNNNNNNNNNNNNNNNNNNNNNNNNNNNNNNNNNNNNNNNNNNNNNNNNNNNNNNNNNNNNNNNNNNNNNNNNNNNNNNNNNNNNNNNNNNNNNNNNNNNNNNNNNNNNNNNNNNNNNNNNNNNNNNNNNNNNNNNNNNNNNNNNNNNNNNNNNNNNNNNNNNNNNNNNNNNNNNNNNNNNNNNGGAAUUCCCUCAGGAGCGACGCCCCGGUCAGUUUCGCCGUCGCCAUGUUGCCCGGCCACAGGUCCACGUCCAUCCUCUCCAGUACUAGCUUCGCGCGGGGAUCAACGAGAUCCAUGCGGGACCAAGCGUCAACAGACUUGGGCUGCCCCGUGGGCAGAAUCAGCCGGGAGUGGAUGCGCCCAGCGUCCACCAUGACCCACUUGCUCCUAAAGCCCUCAAUCCUCUUCCCGGGCUUCGAGAUAGUGUUGGAGCUGGCGUAUGCAACGAAGCUCGCGCACGCGGUGAUGGGGCCACGAGAGACCCGGAGGUAGAAGUAAUGGCGCAGCAAGGCCACCGAGGGCCUUACCCUGACAUGAGCCUUGUAGUAGUAGGCGGAAAUCGCCAGGAGAAGAACAGAGUUAGGAUGGAGGUGCAGAGCUUGCAGGUUGUAAUGGUGGAGAAUAGAAAGGAAGAACUCGGAAAAGGGGGGCAAUAGGCCGCAGCAAUGGCGCUCACGAAGAGCGGGUAGAAGGUGCUCCCUUUGCCCUCAGGAAGGGCAGAACCAACGUUGAGCACGGCCGCCCCAUCGUUGCCUUGCGCCGCCAUCAUCUGGCGCGUCCGGGCAAGGUUCUUCUCCGACACGUUCGGAGGAUCCAGAGCGGGCGAGUACCAUGCUCCGGCCGGGGUCUAGCGAGGCGCCAUGCCUUGCUAGGAUGCAGGGUUGGAGUAGAUCUGGGGAUUUCGGAAGCAAGAAGGAUAGGCGCGAGAAAGGGGAUCUGGGCAAUCACUGGAGAAGGCAAGGAAGGUAAGCCAAGACGGGUACCGCUCCCUUGUCAAUUGUGCAGUUGCUGAGAUGUCGUGGGGGAGCCAGGACGCCCACGUCCAAUCAACCGCCACGCGGCGCCCAAGGCCGCAGGCUAUUGGGGCCCGCAGUGCUUCGCACUUGCCCCUUCACUUCUCUGCUAAGCCAAGUCCAGGCGCGCCUUGGGCCCGGGGGCUACUGUCGGCGUUCUGGGAACGGGGGUACCCAGACUUGCCUGCAUGCAGCUUGGCUCAAGGAGUGGCCCAGUAUGUCCCAUCUUCAUCAACAUAUGCUCAAGACCCUCGCGAGGGGCCAAGCCUCGCGGGGCGGACGACAGGAUGCUUCCUCGGGCACAGCCUCGUCAGGCUAGCUCGCGAGGAGGCCGAGAGAUCAAGGCGGGGUACCUCAUGAGGUGCCCAUGAUGCAAGCCAUGACGACCAAGGCCAGGCGGGCGCCGGCCUGCACAGAGUCCUUGUUUCCUCUUUGGUGCAAAGGGGGCAAGCACAGGAGAGAGUAUCAAGCAAAGGCAGCCAUUUCGGUUCAACAAGACCAAGACCAGCAGGACGGCAGAACGGAGGUCAUCGUGGAGCCCAAGCCAGCGUCAUCGUCAGGGUCUUUGGCAGGCGAGGACCAACUUUAGUCAGGAUAAGUGUACUAGAUGUUCCCCUUCAAAAUGGCCAAUUGUUGGCGCCCUUCCCGCUCAUUAUUUGGGGAGAGGCCUAGGGCCUCCGCCUAUAAAUAGGACUAGCCACCCACAGGGUAGAGGCAUCGGCAUCUGGAGAGAGAGAGAGGCGACUGAACUCCCCCUAGCAGUUCAGCGCACCAGCCAAGAACAGACCCUUGCGAGGCUAUUCUUCCUUGUACUGUUCAUCAUCAGCCCCUGAGGCAAUCCACACACCACAAACUGGAGUAGGGUAGUACACCACAAUGGUGGCCUGAACCAGUAUAAAUCUCGUGUCCCUUGUGUUCCUCUUCGUGUAGUUUUAGAUCCUUGCGAGGUGACGAGACAUGGGUAGGCAGGAGGUGUGAUCUCCACGUGCACCCCAGAGUUCGAACCUUGAGGGUCUGCCGAAACCCGAAAUCCGACAUUUGGCGCGCCAGGUAGGGGUGCGCCGGAAUCCGCCUUCCGUCGCCUCGUGUUUCGCCGCCCGUCGCAUCCAUGUCGGACACUCAUCAAGCCAGCGCCGAGCGCCGGGCCGCUCUCGCCACUCGUGUCGCCCAGACGGCCCCCGUCGGCGGGCGCCCCCGCCGUUCCCCAUCGCCUGCCGUCAACGCCGCCACCGGCCUGGCGGGGAACGAGCAGCAGGCGUCGUCCCUGCAUCCUUCGGUGCAGUGAGAAGGCCGCACCGCCACCCCAUCGCUGACUCCAGCCGGCUCCUCGUCCCACGCCCGUCGCGCUCCUGCGGAUGCGCACGCCGCGCUGCUCCUGGCGCGGGAGCUCCUGCACUACCGUCCCGUCCACGACCUCUACGACGAGUGGCUCGCCCGCAUCACCGAGCUCGUCAGUGCCGCUGGAGGCUCCCCUGCAUCAUCCCUCUCGCUGCACCGCGCCCCGCCCUGCGCGGGCGACGAAGCUCCGGGGGCGCCUCUGUCGCCUCCCCCUCAAGAAGGCACCUUGGCCCCAAGGCGCAUGGCCCUUGGGCGGAACCCACUCCGUCCGACGCCAGCACAGCAAGAGAAGAGCUGCCAAGAGAUCCCUCGCCCCCAAGAAGCCACCCGUGUGCUCCCUGCACCGGCCCGGCACGAACGCGCUCCCGCUCCAGCGCAUCAAGACCCCGCGCUGCAACUGGCGGCAGCGCACAAGGAUUUCUUUGCUCCGCCAACUGACAGGUGGGACCCAGAAACCAGGUGACAAUUUAACCAGUCAACAAAGUGCCACGUCGACUAUGUGGCCGGUCAGUAGGGUGCAAUACGAUGCUCUACGAUGAGCUAGUGAUCGUAUAAUCGACGCAAAACUAUAUAUAGUGACCGUAAAGAGCGUAUUGUUACAUACGUUGACCGCCAGUGUAUUUUUCUCAUUUCAAAUUAAGCCAUAUUAAUCGGAAAGGAUGCAGUAUGGACUACUACUAGUACUAGUACUGCUUUGAUGUGUCCCGUCAACUCGCCGAACGAGGAGAAGCUUGCUUACUACGCCUCUCCCUCGCCCAUGCGCGUGGUGGUUCGCAGGACGAGGAGAGGGUUUUGACUACAGUGCCCUCUCCCUCUUCCUCUCCCUCGCCCUCGCCCUUGCCCUCGCGAUGGACGUGCAGCAGUUCAAUCGGUGUCAGAUUGCCAUGCGCAUAUUGUACUGUAGUAUCAUCAUUGCUGGACCUUCCGAAGAGGCAAAGAGGCAAGUGCAAGGUUCACACGAGUACGAACUGUUGAACCUCUCAAAGAGGCAAAGAGCCAAGCGCAAGGUUUUAUAGGAGUUGUCGUCCUAGUAGGAGUGUACUACAACUAUAGCGAACGAUGCUACUGUAUGAUGCCGCCACGCCACGUAUAUCCAAAGUUGUCACCUUUUUUUCUCAAAGAGCAUGUUGGAGCCCGUGCAACAACCACACAAUUUGCACGUACACAUAACACAUUUAAUGGUAAUAAAUUCUAAAGGACAAAUGCCUGUAUGCCACACAAGUUCAUCUCCAAUUCAUGUGAUAAAUUUGUGCACGACUAGUCUACAUAUAUUCACAGCGCUACCGUUCACAAUUACCGUACUCCACUUACAUGUUAUAGAUGGGCUACAUGCAUGUCCUCCUCCAGGUUCCAGUCCCAGGUGUUCUUCAUGGAUGGCACGAUCCAUAGCGGUGGGCAACGAGAAUCAUUGUCGCAGCUUUCUAGUCCGGUUCCACACAAUGGAGACUCAUCUAAGCUGAAGCGGCAUAAAUCAGGGAUAGCGUGUCCCAGCAUGUCGUUCAUCCGGCGGUGCGCAAUGAAGACACAACCAUGCUUCAUGAACGGCAGGACUUCCGUGUCGUGCACGGAAGGUGGCAUCCACUUCACAAUGGGGUAGCUAUCCCCGAUGAAAAGCGGGUACUCUCCAAGAGUGUUCCUCGGCACGCACGUAGCAUCACGGGGGUCGAACUCGGCGCCGUUCAUCUGGUACACGCGGCAUCCCAUAUCUAGACACAUGGUGACGUACAUAGUCAAGGUCCAUGCAUAAUAAUGUUGUGCUCAAAUAUGGCGGUCAGUAAUAGUGUGCAGCAAAUAGUACUACUCCGGUAUAGAGGAAGUAAAAUAACCGGCUUAUUAUAUAUAGCCACUCUUGGCUACAUGGAUGAGAUAGUAAGACGUGGAAAAACAAAAAUGGUGGCAGCUAGUGGAUUCAAGUCUUCAAGGGCCCAGCUAGCUAUACGCGUCCUCCAAGGUAAAAAGUACUCCUACUAGUAGUACUAAGUAUACUACUAGUACAACAAUGAAAGAGAAGGCGAGAGGGUUAAAAAAUGGAAUACCUGGGUAGAUGGUGACGGUCCGAUCAUGGUAGAUUGUGUGACCAUGUUGCACAUCAGUGGUACCAUGGGUAACGACUGCUAAGAUAGUUGAUCCCAAUAUGCCAAAGUCAGCUACAAGGUUCUAGGUUAGACCAAAUCGCGGAUGCAAAUGCACAUCCAGGAUCGGCGAUCUUAUUUUGAUCGGGGGAUGACUGGUCCCUGCAAAAUAAUGGAGUACCAUUAGGGAUGCAAAUGAUAGUUUGUGCAUUCCGUUUCUAAUCUCCCGUACCGUAGGAUGGCAACCAGAUGAAACAAGUCCCCUGGCUUGUCACCGCGAAGAUGCGGCCUAGAUUGCGCAUGGCGUCUUCGAACGUGUAGGGGUACAAAUCUGCUGCCACCAACAUGCGCCAGCCUCUGCCGUUACUACGUCUUACAUUGAUGGCAAUCCUUAUGUCGAACACCGCGAUGAGAUAGUAAUCGUCGUAGCCACGUUGCUUUGUUGGCGGGUCCGCAAUUGCUAUCUUCUUCAAUCUCAUGUAGGCAUCAUCAUACGUAUUCAAGCCCAGCCAGUCCGGAAGGCCAAUCCCAAUGGUGGAGAAGGGGUCUACCAGAACGGACGCACUGCUGUGGAUGUUGUGCAAAAUGAUGGUGGUAUCCGGCCAGAGGUAUGCAAGCCAAUCUUCGUUGGCACCAAACCAGACCUAUAUAUAAGACGGUGGGCAGCGGAGAAAUUACGGGAUGGAAAUGGAAUAACUAAGUACUACAUGAUCAAACUCCAUUACUGACCUGCUCAUCGGACAAAAUCCGACUACCUCUCAACAUCGGCAACUCUAUCAGAGUCAACGUGCAACCAUGGCCAGGGAGCGGUGGACUGUUCGAAGGAUUGUCCCAUAGAAGAACCUUCUCCUCGAGGACACAUGGAAGACCAACAAGCAUGGCCUUUUCCCAAACCUGUUUAAGCAGCGUCUUGAAAAAGUUGGUGCGGGAAGCACCGAGUCUUGCGGCGGUGAGGACGUCGGAGCGGCGUGUGAUUUCUCCCAGAGGAUCGUCGUCCGAGGUCUCCCAGCCCCGACGAGGAGGAGAACCGCCUGGCGAAUCCAUGGGAGCAGCGACGAACUGCCUUCUCUUUUGGGGGAGGGGAACUGGCGAGGAGGAGAUAAGAGCGUAGUAAUCGCAGGGCCUCGUCCCUUCCAACUGUAGAUCGUUCCUCAGUGAAGGGGUGAGGCUAUUAUUUACUACUAGUACUAGCAUUAUGGAACAUUAUGGGAUUGCAUUAUACUGUAAAUAAUAGCACUAGUAAGAAAUUUUUGGCACUAGGUAGUAGUUUUUGGCGUGGAUUAAGAAAUUUUGGGUAUGUUUUUGCCAUUUUUUGUACACGCCAACUAGUGUCAAAAAAUGUCUUACAUUAUGUGACGGAGGAGUACGUACUCGUACUGUAGCAGUACCAGUACUACUUUUCUCAACUACGAGUAUUAGUGCGACGUACUGUACUUCUAGUCUAGUCUAGUCUAGUAUAGUGCACCAGUUUUGAACUCUUGAAUCUCAGGGCCAAGGAGCUACAGUUGGAAGUGGAGGGUACUACUGUUCUCUAGAACCAUCGUUGUACUAUCAAUGCAGGGGAAGUACACCUGUGUAGUGGCCUAGUGGGUACUCUCGGUGCUAUAUUCAGCCGCUCCUCUCACGUAGGAGUAGUUGGCCUACUCAGCCGCUCCUCUCACGCACACACUAGCAGCCUGUUUAUCAGCGACGGUUGCUGCGGUCUGCGGGGGCAGAACAUUUGAGUUAUUUGAUACAGUGAUACUAGGCUUUUCGCUUCCAUUUGUGGAGGUGUAAUGGAUCUCGUCAAACUUUUUUAGUAGUUCCUUCUUUAUGAAUGAGAUGAAGCAAAGCUUUUGCCUCCGUUUCAAAAAAAACAUGUCAAGAGGAAUUUCUUUUAUAGUAGAGCCAAUAAUGGAGUGAAGUCCAUGCAUGCAACGCCACAAGCUACAGAGUACUAGUAGUACAGCACUUUACAUAGAGUACAGAGCGAUAUUGCAUAGUUCCCAAUGCCCCGCCAGGCUUUUCCGGCUCCUCGGGCUUAAUUGGGAGGCGCUGGUUUAAAUAUGCUACUACUAGCUGAUGAGGAAGCAGCAAGCGAGGAGCGGCUAGGGCGAGCACGCGAGCCACGGAUGCUGGGAAGGAAAACCCGUUCACGGGGCUAGGCUGUCCAGUGCACCCAGAUUGUGGGGCCGCACGUCCGUUUGACUUCAAAACUCAAACUACCCAUGUAAAAUAUUGGCUCGCAGCGAAGUGUUGUAGUACUAUUUUUUUAAAGGCCGCCGUGCGUUCGGCCGGGAUCGAACCCACAAAACGGGGUAUACACUCCCGCGACCACUAGUAGUACUCGUUGGAGUACAACGCAACCUAGAAUCGCCUUUUGUCGCUAGUAGUACGUACAUUGCUCCUUACAAGAAACCCCUAAUAAUGCAAGAAACCACUAAAAUGGCAAGAAACUACUACCACUUGCAUACGUGGCAGACUUAAGAUAAGACUACCUUAUCAACCAUUGUACAUGCUCUUACCAACCAAAAUCCUCGAGUGACCUCCUACCUCCGGCCCGUCCACCUAGUCAUCCUCGGCCAUGGGACGCAGCUACCGCCACCGGCAGAAGGCGAGGUCAAAACCGCCGGCGGUGCGGAGCCCAUGUUGCGGCAGCCUGGAUACCAACUCCGUCCAGCCCUCGCGGCCGCUAGCUAGCCAAGAUAGCUCCGUCCAGCUGCUUGUCUGCAAGGUUUGCUAGCUAGAUUGGCACUGCAGCGCGGCGGCUUGCUCACGCGCGUCGCGCUCAGGCCAGCGCGGCGGCUUGCUCGCUCGUGAGUCACACUCGGGCCAGCCUGCCAACCCGUGCAGAGGCCAGCGCAACGUCCGGCCCGUCCGGCGGAGCGGCGUCCAACUCGCUCAUCACCGGCGCCACCGACGAACACGCAUCAGUACUGUUUGAAGUAAUGUUCAGGAAAAAUAAUGAUUUGAGGGGGAAUAAAAGGAUAGAAGGUCAGAUGUGGGUCCCUCAUGUCAACGGUCAAACAAAAUGUGUUGGUUUAAGCUGCCUCAUCAGCACGGACAUGUGGGCCAACCCAGUCAUAAAUGGGUUUAAACGAACCUAAUCGGUAGGAGUACUAGGUACUACCUCUCUCUCAGUUUACACGGCGUGCGCGUACCCCUAGGUCGUCAAUUUGACCAACCUAAUACAAGUCAUAUAUUACAAAAAAUAUACCAACAUAAACUAUGGAGUUUCUACUUUCAAAAGGUAUAACUUUUGUGCUAUAUAGUUUAUAUUAGGGAGAUAAAAUUGACAACCUAGGUAUACGCACAAGACUUGUAAACUGAAACGGAGGUAGUAGUAGUUUUUGGCGUGGAUUAAGAAAUUUUGGGUAUGUUUUUGCUAUUUUUUGUACAAUAGAUUCUUCCUAGGGCUGGUUGAAAGUGGUAGUUUUUUUUAAAUACUCUACAUAUUGUAAGUAGGAGUGAAAGUUAAGCUUUGGAAGCCAAUAAGCAAGGUUAGUUACAUAGUGCAUAUGUGUACAUGAUUGAAAGUAAAUAUCAACCAUGAGUGACUAAUAUCUUGAUGGAAAACUCGAAACUAUGGAAUACUAGAAAAAAAUACAUGGUUGGAAAUACUAGCAAUGUCAUGUCCGUUGCAACGAAUCAUAAUUAGAAUAAUACUUAUUCACAAACUUGGUACAAAACACCCUAAUUUUGAUAUACAUAUGUAUAUUAUGUUUCAAUUAUAAUAUAUUCCUCGGGCUGUUUUGGUGAGGUCAGGGAGGGAUGUGGUUGGUUUUAAGAUACUAAUUAUGGGUUUUUCUGCAAAUUUGUAGACAAGUGGGAUGUUGGUGAGAAAAGGCAACAACUUACCUCACAAUCGUUAGAUGUAGAUCUAAUGGUCAGAAACGACGGAUGGCAGACACACCAGCAUCACCAACUUAGUCUUGUGUAGGAGUACUAGCAAGAUCCGUGCAUUAACGGAACAUCAAGAUGCAUUUUUUUAUAAAAACACUUGUUGUGAUUGACCCUUGCGGGACUAAUCCCAUGUGUAAAAACUAAUGAUAUCUCGAGAAAUAUGAGAUAAGGUGAAGAGGAGUUGGGUGUGGUGGUGCUUGGUGGUCGGACUGAGCGGAGGCAUGGGGAUUGACGACGCCGGCAGCGGCCACUAGGCCAGUUUGUUCCAAAGGCUUCCUUUCUUAAUUGCUCAACAAUGAGGUUUGUUUGAGAUAAGGAUGAACGAGGGAAGGCCUUGUCUGCAAAUGUGGAGAGCGGUGCGGGUAUCUUUUAGUUUAAUUUCCAUCCGUCAGAUAUAGAUCAGACGGUCUAUAUUGCAAGAUGGCACACGUACCAUCAUCACCAACUCGGGUUUUUAUAAAAGAAGAAAUAUAAGUAUGGAGAUACAAAUGUAUUAUUGGUACUUGCUUCCGUAAACUAGCAUCUACAUUCUAUUCAACGCCUUAGCACAAUGACUUCUCGACUGUGUAAAACAAAGAUUUUCCCGUCGCCGACAAGGAGGGGGUGACGGCGGCGCGCUUUUUGGCUUGCUCUAGUCCCAGUAGUCAUACUAGGUGGCCUAAGCACAUAUAGAUUUAUUCUUUUUCAUGUCUCGUGUUCGCCGUACUGCCACGACUGUUGAUGAGUAGACGGUAAGUUAUUCAUGAGGAAACCCUUGUUGAGCGUGUUUGCAGAGAGAGAGAGAGAGAGAGAGUGCGUGUGCGAUAUGUUAGAGACUGAUGCAAUGAUAACAGAUUCUUUGUGUCUAUGUGUGUGGAGGAUAGAGAGAGACAUGUACAUGGGGCUUUGUGUUGUGUAACGUGGAGACACAUAUACAUAAUUAGAGAGUGAGUGUGUGAGAUACACAUGCGGACAUGGAGAGAGAUGAGGAUCCAGAUAAAUGGGUGUUUGUGCGUGUCUGUGUGUGUUUGUGCACGCAUUUGUGUGUGACAGGGAGAGAGUGUAUGUGGAGUAGAGAGACCACUGAUGAUGUAAACCUAGUAUAAGGGAAGGGGGAAUGGUGUGACAUGUGUAGUAGCGAGAUAGCACGGGUGCGGGCGGGGGGAGCAGACUAUUUGGAAGAGACAUCGAGUGUGUGUGUGGGAGAGGGUGUGAGAGCAAUAGAAAGAGAGAGCUAGCGACGGAGAGAGAGAGAGCGAGAGCGAGAGAGAGAGAGAGAGAGACAGAGAGAGAGAGAGAGAGAGAGAGAGAGAGAGAGAGGAAGAGAGGGGGAAAGAGGGGUCGUUUGUGUCCAUAAAUGGCUUAUUGCUAGGGAGACAAUGUUGAUGUUGUCCAAAAUUGGCCUAUGAACGGAGAUGCAGGGGAAGCGAGUCAUCGUAUGUGAGAUAGGGACUUCAUGAGAGAUCUAGAAUAGAUGGUGUAGAGAACAAUGUGCGAAAUCGAGAACGAUUAUACAUUAGGGAGCUAUGCAAAGAGUCAUGACAUAUAUGUAUACGGGGAAGGAGCUAGGGCGGGUCCGCAUGUGGGAGAGAUAGAAAGAGGAGAGUGGUGCACAAGGAGACAAAGUGUGCUUGUUUGCAGUGGGGGUGGUGUGUGAGGUGAGUGCGCGAGAACCACAUAACAAGGGAGAUAGACGUUUGGGGGCAAUGUUUUAUGUAUAUGGGAAAUAUACACUCUACAUAGUGCGUAUGCUUGGGUAAGAGAGAUAGCGGGAGACCUAGAGAGUGAGGGAAGAGAUGUGUGCAUGCCCGGGAGACAAAGUGAUAGAGACCUAUGUUGGGGUCCAGACUUUACAAGAGAGAGGGGUGUUAAUGUGCUCGUGUGUUGGUGUCUGGGGGAGAGAACGACUUCUCUAUGUGUGUGUGUGCGUGGUGGUGGUGGUGGGGGGUAACUUCAGAUAAAGAGUGAGGUGUCUAUAUUUGAGGGACUUUAGCGUAAUUGAGAUAAUGUGCACUCAUGGUUGAUCAAUUUGUUUCACAGUUUGUACUAUGAGAUAACGAUACUUUUGAACAUGCGUGAUAUACCUUGAUGUACCGGAAUUACAAACCUAAGAUUGGAAUUUUGGAAUUCGACUCCAUCAUUAGCUUUUGUAAUUCAUUUAAACGGAGGUACAUUUUUUAAGCCGGAAUUUCGUGAUUUCAAAUUCAUAUAUCAAACCUAGAGAUAUACACAUACGGGCAUGUUCAAACUUUAUAAUCAUUCACUUUAUUCAUACACAUACACAUUUUUUCUUUUGUCAUCAUAUUUAGGAUAAACACAUUUGGAAUUUCAUUUGAAUUGGACCGUAUGAUGGUAUUUGCUUGUAGUAGCUCAAUGAUCCAUAUUUGAAUUGAAUGGACAAUCUAAGUUUCGAGUUGGAGACAUUAAUUUUCAAAACUUGCACAUUUUUUUGCGUGCAAAACAAACAAAUUGUCGGCCAUGAUAUCAUAGUCGACCGUACGAGAGCAGCAUACUUAUAAUUUUAGGCGCCAAAAGCUUUCAAACUUCCCGCUCACAUCGAAAUAUCACGCGCCCGAAAGUUUAGCCCUACGAUAUUCCUGUUUUACCACUGCCACAUGAACGGAAAAGGGCUGCUUUGGUAACUCCAUUGUUUUCCCCUUUUUGCCCCCAACAUUCUUCUCCAGAGCCCCUCCCCUUCCCCUCCCUGACCCCCCCAACCACGGCAAGCCACCGAAUCUAGUCCUCCACCGUAGCGGUGGACCUCCCACCCCGCCGGAUCUACCUUCCGCACCUUGGAACCCCCAACUGCCAACUCACCACUUCACCGGAGCCGCUUUAGCGACUGGCUUGUCCACCGCUCCAGAUCUCCUUGACCGCCAUCAUGGUCCACCACACCGGAUCUGCUUAACCGGCGCCCUCGUCCACCACAGCGUAGGCCCUUCACUGACUCCCUUGUCCGCCCCUUCGCUGGCCCUUCAUACAAGCCCUCGUCCUCGGCAACAGAUCCGCCUCACCGAAAGCACUGUACAAUGCGCCCGCCGAAGCCUUCGUCCACUACACCGGACCCGCUCCACGGAUGCCAUAUUCAACUCCACUGGCCCUGCUUUACCGACGCCGCAGCCUCAUCAGGUUAUUUUGAUUUGUACUCCUUCGGUUUUUCUCUUUAUCGUGCAACUGUUCACUUACCACAGAUGAGCUUUCUUGUAUGUCGACAGGCGCCGCAACCGUAGCACCGGAGCCGCUUCAGCGACGGCGACAGCCGGCCCAAACUCAACCGCAACACGAGCACCAUCGACGAUCCUUAGCUAUCAAGUAUGACAACGAUACCCAUACACCACCGAGAAUCAGGUACUAUCAUCCAAUGGCCGGUGCCUACGUUCACUUUCCUAGCAUAAGCACGGCACCUUUGAAUUUCUUCAGGGCAUCAUUUAGUUUUUCAUGAGACGCGUUAUUCUGCUUACACCUGUAGGGCCAUACUUCUGGCAGUGAACAUGUUACAUGUGCCAAAUUACAUACCAGUGCACAUAUAGUUAAUAUGCUUUAGUUUUGUUCUGAUGCCACCUGUUGGUUCCAUCAUACUAGUUAAUGUUCUCUAUGCUUAAUUACACAUCAGCAAACUAGCAUGUGGUUCCGGUGCUUUUUGUUCGUUUUACCCUACAUUUUCUGAUGCUAGCUAUUACAUCACUGCUCCGAGCCUCUGUUCAUUACUUGUUUGUGUGUUCUUGAUCUUCCCAAGUUGCAUGACUAAUUUGAUGCUUCUAUUAAUUAUGGAGCUGCCAACCCCAUCAAGCAAAAUAUUUGUUCUUUUGGGGCUGGCACCUCGAACAAGCAUAAAAAUAGAGGGAAGCAGAUAUAUUGUCGUGUAUGCACACACCCUUCUUUCAUUAGUUUAGAUGAACCAUUGAUGAUCAAUUCGGACUAGUGCAUGCGAUUAAAAUUAAUUUUACCUAAAUAUAUGGUGCAGAAUAAACUACAACAACUAGAUUUGCAACCACGGGAUGCUGACGAUAUUUUCAAAGAACAUUGCAGCAAUAGCUAGGCUUCACAGCAACAUAUGAUAAGCCAAUGUGUUUUAGUACAUGUGAAAUGUAAUGCGAGUGGGCUGCUUUCUUGGCUUGUGCCCUCAACGUGUAAUCCUACCGAAUUACAAAUAGUUCAGUUGUCUGCUUUGCUGUAUUGCUUGAUUCGAAUGCUUGUUUGUUGUUACGCUAUACCUGAGUUGGCCAAUAUGUCAGCAGUGCCUGCUGUACUAUCGUAAAGAAAUGCAUGCCUAUUUCAUUUGAGUCCUUAACUUUUCCUCUCAACUUCAUCACAAGACUAUCUUUGUAGUUUAUAUGAGGCCACACUGUUAAGUGUUUUAUCAGAUUAUUUCAACUGCUUAGAUGCCUUGGCAACUUAAAUAUAGUGGUUGUACACUCCCUUUCAACUAGGGAUGUCAACUGGGUCCCGUUUAAUCCCGAUUAAAGUCCACUAAUGGUAUGAUAGUUCAGAAGAGUUUUUGUUUUUUGAGGAAAAUGAACUAGGGAGGUAGCAAAAACUAACUAGAUGGGACUGGCGGAUGUCAUUUAUUUGCCACUUACAUCCCUAGUUUCAUCUUACCAUUUUAAUUUCUUUUUGGCUAAUGCUGCUUUGAACCAUUCAAAUAUAGUCUGCCAUGCUCGGCAAUAAUUCGUCCGUCGUUUACCAUGUAAGCUUACUGCCUGGAUCAUACGAUAAUUAUCUCUUAUGUCCAGCGGAAACCUUUGAGGAUGCCGUUCACACUAGGACACAAUGUACAACCCCAGAAUCUAUUUGUGGAAGCAGUGCGCCAUCCAUGUUACCAAAUGGUAGCAGUUCAGAGGCAACACCGCCGGAGAGCAGUCUAAGCACAGAUAUUAUAGUGCUUGAGGCUCUACUAGAGGCAGAAAGAGAUGGUGUGGCUGCCAUGAAUGACGUAAUCUUUAUCUUGAGGCUGGAAAUUACGGAAUUAGCGGCACGCAUUAUGCAAGCAACCCAAGAAUUGGAGGAAGUAAGAAUGUUGCAUUUGAAGACGGAGGAGGUCCUGCUGUUUCUGCUAUCUGAAGCCCAAGGUAAUCCCGGUUAUUCUUUAGAUACCAGUUGAAAUUGUCAUUAGAUUAUUGUACUUGCAUGUUGUGUCAUGUAUCUGAAUGGAUUAUGUUGCAAGACCCCCUAUGUUGUCCGGAAUUCCAUGUUGUACAUGUGUUGUAAUGAUCCGAAUUUUUUAGGCGAGGUAAUCCUCAGUACUUGUAUGAUUGACAUAAGGUGAACUGUUUUUCGUGUGAGCAUAUUGUAUUGGAUGAAAUAACUUUUUGAAUCAGAGUGUAUCCAACCUACUGAAUUAGAAGAUCACGGCGUAUCUAAAUCAUAAUCAUAUAUAAAGGUGGAAUAAAUCUUUGUUGUGGUGUUGAAGAAAUAAAUAACAAAACAUAUAAUUAUCUGUGGAUAUUCGUAAUCGAAUACAAAUUGGAUUUGAAUUUAGUUUGCCAGGUCCCAGGGCAAACGUGAAUGCUAAUUCUCCCAAGUUUUGAACGAAGCGGCUAAACACCCACUAUAAUUUGUGGGCUGCCCGAAGCAAGUGUUUGUGAGAUGGAAAUUACUGUCUACCCCUGACACUGAGUACAUCCUUAUCGACCAGAUUUACACUGUUGUCGAUAGGGGUAGACUAGUAACUUCAAUCAGACGUGACACGAUGGCCUCUAAGCCAAUUCAGACAUGGUGGGCGCCGAACGUGGGCGGCAAAACACAUUUGAUUCAAGCUAGUCCGAAAGACAUGUGUCUCUUCCUCCAUUUCCCCAUUCAUACACGGUGGGCGGCAAAACAAACUCUCCUCGUUAGAAAUCGAUGUAGGCUAAUAUUUUAAAUAGGGGCAGAUGUGUAACUUCCAUCAGACGUGACACAACCGCCCUACCUGUCAGCCCUGUUCAUACACCGUGGGCACCAACCGUGGGCGGCAAAACACCCUCUCCUCGUCCGAAAUAGUUAUCGGCAAAUAUUUGGGAGAUGCGAGAUUACCGUCCUAUCCCCAACCUACGUGAUGUCCGAAAUUUUAAACGGGGGAUAAGUUCGUAACUUUCCCCCAUUUCAGAGAAGCGCGUCCCAAAGUUUGAGAUCCCUCCCCCCUCCCCUCCAUUUCCCCAUUCAUACACCAUCGGCGGCAUGACAACCUCCGCACUGCGGCCAGCCUCCUCCGUCCACCACCCCAUCCUCCAUCUUGCUGGAGCCGCUACCCCUACCCUGUCGUCCACUGCAAGAGAUGGACGUCUCUCAUCCACGGCGCUGGACCAGGAUCCUUUCAUCGCCUCCUCUCGCUUCAUCAGCGCCGUCGUCCACCUUGUCGUUGCCGCUCCUAUGACCGCCUCGUCCACAGCAACAGGAUAUAUCCCCCGACCCGGUCGUCUGCCGUCUAAAGUCUUCUUCCCCGCCGCCGAUAGCCAUCUCACCCGCAGCACCCUCAAUGUAUCGGCAUAGGCCUACACGGCGUCUCAACAGAGGUGGUACUCUUCCAUAUGUGCUUAAGUUAUUGAUCUCCCCCGGAAAAUAGAUCAUAAUUUGUUUACUAUACUUUUCUUGUCCGUACCAAAUCGUAGUGGCUAGUUGAAAGCAAACAUGGGUUGCGAAGUAGCUUUGUCCAGUUUGCACCUUAAGAUCCGCCAUGGCACGGGAACUAUACUCGUAAAGCUUACGGUUUACCCCCUUUAUAUUCACUACCAUCAUAAUAGGUGCUUCGUGUCGUGCUAGCACUACUCCUCAAGACCUCAACCCAAAGCUUACGUGUUGAAAUACGAAUCUGAUAUGAUGCUCAUAUCACUAAAAUAGAGAAUGUUUAAUUGGUCACCUAAUGUUCCUAUAUUCGUUUCGAAAAGCAUGUGCGCCACCCACUGGUCCAGCUAGUUUCACUUUCCUGAUUUUUCUCUUGAUGCUUAGGGUUUUCCCCUUUUAUCUACUCUACUAUGAUCUGUGUAGGUGCUUUCUGUCGUACUGGCAUUACUCCACCCUUCAAGCUAAACAACACAACACUCAGAAUUCGAAAGCUUAGUUGUUCAAGUAUGAUUGUGAUAUGAUACCAAUAUUAGUUAACCGACACAUUUAAUUGGUUAGCUAAAGGUCCCACUUGAGUUUCCAAAUGCAUGUCACGACAUAUAGAGAGACAGCAUAAUUGUAUUUCUUUGUCACUUGUUGACCGUACUUUCUUGUCCAUACCAAAUCUUAGUUGUUAUUUCAAAGCAAACAUCGGUUGCUAACUACCCUUUGCGCGGUUUGCAGCUUCAGAUCUGUCAUCCCACUGCCACGGUCAACACUGUACUCAUCAUGCUUAUGUUUUCCCCAUUUUAAGAUGACCACAAUCAGCCUACGUGGUUCGUGUCGUAAUAGCACUGCUCCACCCAUCGAGCUAAACAAGCUUAGUUGUACAAAUUCAUAUCUGAUAUUAUUGUUGAUAUUAGUAAAACUGAGAGAUGUUUAAUUGGUGAGCUAAAUGUUCCUACUUUAGUUUCGAAAUGCAUGUGAGCCACGUAUGGAGAGACCGGGAAGAAUAGUAUUUCUCUGUGCGCUCUGGUUCAUCAUGGGUGGCCAACCGACAUUGUAUUGAAAGACUUGUAAUAUCUUCAAUCUGCUUGCUCUUCUGCUCUUCUUUAAGAUGAUACUCUUCUCUUGCGGUCGACUGGUCAGGUCGAGUUGUUCUCCCUUAGUAUAUUUUGAAUUUGUCAGGUCAGGUCGACUUGUUCUUCUUUACUAUAUGUUGAAGCUAUCAUCUGCGAAGUGUCAUCACUUCUGGAGCUCUCAUAUUUUGAGUAGUAGGCCACAUUAUAUUAAUGCACACAAGAAAUUACAGCAUGCAUGGCAUCUUUUAAAAGAAUUACAGAGAUAGCACAAAGGGGUUUACAGGGAGGCAGUAUUGGAUUAGAAUCACUUCUACAUUACAAAGAAAAUCUCACUUGUUUUUAUGUUUUCAUGCAUGUCAGAUAUUGAACGUUAUCAAAAUGAAUAUUGCGGAACGAUCCACUGGCUAACAAACUUGGCAUGGUGGAGGAUGGCCUAUCUUAUUCACCCAUCAAGGUGCUUGCUCUAGCUUUGCAAAGUUGUAUUGGUUGCACAUAUUUUGCAUCUGACCUCUUGCAUUACUUCUACUUUGUUACACCAUCUGCUUAGUUUAAGCAUCAUAUAUGAUUAUAUGCCAUACCUAUCCAUUUUCUGUACCUAUUCCAUGUGUCGUCACACUAUGUUUUUCCAAUCAAAUGUUGUUCUUUCAUAAUAGAUGUCCAAAAGGAAGAGGGUGAGUGCAAAUCCUCAAGGAGUACAAACUAGGUAUUUGGAAAAGGUAGUGAUACCUGUUAAAUCAGAUAGAUCAGCAGCCACAGAAAACACAGGCCCAACUGUACCACACUUUACCCCUACUCCGGUGGCCAAACCCUUAUUAGAACUGCAGGGAGCCCAGUGUCAGGUACUGUCUAUGAUAUCAAUUCAAAAUUUGAACUCCUAAAUUUUUGCUUGUGCCUUACCUUCUCUCUUGUAUGAAAACUAAUUUCAGAUGAAUCUCCUUGCUCAAAGGAUCAUACGAUCUCAAAACAAUAAUGGGCUCUGCAUUGCUCUCGUCAGUACCUCUCUCCCUUUUGCCUUGUAACGUUGUACUUAAUUAAUUGCUAUUUGAUUAUGUAUCAUCAGUCUGCACCUGAGCUUCAUUAUCCUCUAUUUCUUCCAAUAUUAUUUGAUCUAUAUUUACUCUUUGGAAAAUGUAGAAUAAUGGCAACGCUUAUAAAUAAUUUUCUUUGGGGAAUUUAUUGAAUUAUCCUUCCAUCAACAUGGAGAAGGGCUUUGUCCAGCCCGUGUUAACAUGUAAUGUAAGUUCAUCCUUCUCAAGCCUUCAAACUUUGUUCUAGUAUACAUUUGGAUAGGCAUCAUUUCCUCCACUGUUGUUUGCUUUGCUGUUUACAUCUGAUUGGAUGUUUGCAACAACUACCAGUUUCAAAUUGUAGUUGUAAAAACAUGUUCCUUGUGCAGAACAAAUCCAUUUAUUUGCUUAUAUAAUUGUGAAACCUCUUACGUGUCUCCUUGUUUCUCUUUCAGAGUCGUAUCUCUUACGCCAGGCAGAACUUUAGGGAAGAUAGUGAGCCAAACCAUCUUGUGGACAGCGAGAUGACCCCAAGGUCCUUCCUUGAUGAAGACAGUGAGUUGAAGCUACUCACCAGCAGGUGUGAGACAACCUCUGUGCAAUCGCUGCCUCAAUCAGUUCGACUUCUUCAGUCUCAACUUAAAGCGGAAAGGCUUGCUUCAGCUCAGCUCCGACUUGAAGUCAAAGAUGCAAUGAAGAUGUCAGAGGACUGUCGUGCCCACCAUCAAGCCUUAAAUCUAGUGUUGAUGCAUCUAUCGUUGACACAACUAAGGUCUACUCAGCUUCUUCAGCUGUUUGGGGGGCCCUUCCUGGCCAGGCCUAGUGCCUUCUGAAGUGCUCUCAGCUUUGUAUAUUCUUUUGUCGGCGCGUUUAUUUGCACUAGUGGCGAACUUUGAUGCCCAGUGCAUGUAAUAUGUGAUAGUCGUGAUAGCCUAGCGUAAGUUGCUUGCUUAUUUAUUUCCUUGUUGUCUUGUUUAUUUGUUUGCUUGUAGUCAUUGCAGUUCUUUUUCCGCGGUUUGCUAGUGGCUGCAAUAACCUAUUUUUUAAAACUAGGCUACAAUAACCAUGGGCUAAUAUUUACUGUAGUGACACUGGGCCUCCUAUGGGCCGUAGAAACGGUGGGCCUUCUAUGGCCCGUAGAAACAAUGGGCCUUCUAAGGGCCGUAGAAACAAUGGGCUUUCUACGGGUCGUAUCAUCAAUGGGCCUUAUACGGGCAGUAUGAUAACAUGGGCCAAUAACAGGCUGCAUUAUGGUCGUAAACGGGCUAGAGUUGGAAUCGUCCAUUCAUGGGCCGACCAUAAUGGGCCAUCGUUAAUAGGCCGUAUUUCAUGACGCUAUGAAAACGGCCCAAUGUAUUAACGGACCACAAAUGGGUCGACUGUAACCAUGGGCUGAAUUUGGCCCACAAGCAGAAAAUGACAGUAACGGGCCAUAAGUAAACGAAUGCUGGAAAUGAGCCCAAGAAUAAAUGGGCUCUGAGAAGGCCGAAAGAUAACAUGGGCUGGAAACGGCCCAACAGAAUAAUGGGCCGUUAAUGGGUAUAAAGUGAUACACUGUUCAUUACGGGCCAGUUUCACCGCGGGCCGUUAAUGGGUGUAAAGUGAUACACUGCUCAUUACGGGCCAGUUUCACCACGGGUCGUUAAUAGGCCAAGAGUUACAUAGGGCAUCAUAUGGGCCGAAAGACGUCAUGGGCCAUACAUGGGCCAGAAGUGAAAACGGGCUGGAAUCAUAUUGGGUGGCCCAGAUGACGCUACUGGGCCUAAUUCGGAUAGGGCGUAACAUGCCUUGGGUUAGCGGGCUGUAAAUGGGCUAUAUGCGAACAGGUCGUUAACAGGCUUUCCAUGGGCCGGCCCGCCACAUUUUGACCAAGUCAAACGGGCCGGCCUUUUCACAGGAAUGGGGCUCUGUUGGGCCGUGCCACGUGUCGACGUAUCAUAGGCGCGUUCCGUCCAAUGAGUGGAUGACAUUGUCCCAACGAUGAGCAGACACGUGUUUCCUCUAGCCAAUGAUGAUUUUACACGUGGAAAAUCCCCAUUGGUCUGGGAUGUUAACGGGUUAUCGGAUCCAAAACCCGACCCGAUAGCUUAACGGCGUUCCGUUAUGGUGGAUGCCACGUGUCGGUCACCCUUGACGAAAGCACUUCUAUGACGCGCGAUUUAUCGUCAUGGAAGUGGACACUUCCGUGAUGAUAAUUUUGGUAAUGUCAUGGAACACUUCUACGACAGCACAGGUAUGACUAUCUUGAUUCUGUCAUAAAUUUGUCAUGGAUGUACAUGCAUGACAAAAAACGCGACCUACUGUGACAAACACGUAUCAUCACGGAAGUGUAUUUUUUUGUAGUGUAUGAUGCAGGAGAAGAUUCAGAAUCUAUAGGGUGCCGGACUUCCACCUCGUCACACGACAUAUACAUGGUGGAUACGCCUAAGGAGGAUGACGGUGACAAUCCGGAAGAUAAAACCCCCGGGCAAAAGCCAAAGCGAUGGCGCAGACGUCGUUCCAAGUCCAGCAACAGUAAAAAUAGCAGCAAGAGCGCCAGAAGGAUCGAUACUCCGGUCAACCCCGAAGGCAGCAACGACCAUGCGGAACCAGCCAUGGAGCAGGACGAGCCAGGUCACGCCGAACACAGUUCGGAGAAGACGCCCGAUGACAAUGAUCCCGAGGGACGAGUUCAUCAAACCGCCCCAGGACAAGAACACAGUCCGGACGAUGAUGCAUUCGUCAUUCCGGAAGAACGUGUGGAAUGAGAUAACCUCCACAAAAAGCUUAUGGCCAUAGCAAGAAGUCUAAAGAAGCAGAAGCAACGGCUCAAAGCCGCGCAAGAAACGCUCAACCGUAGAUGGAAUAAAGUGCUAGACACUGAAGAAAGAUAUGGCGACGAUCGCCAUACAAAGAGCUAUCCAAAACGCAAGCUACUACCAGAAUUCGACAACGAGGCCAUUCCACCAAAGACUAAUAUGACCAGGAGGCCCAACGUACCGCUCCACAACCGCAAUGGAACGGCCACCGACACCGCGCACAAUCUACGUGAGCACCUGGAUAAGAAGGCUGGUGCAGCUAGGUCCAUCUAUGGAUCUAAAGGACACACCCCGGCAAGGUACUACGGUCACCAAAACGAUUACGCUAAUCAAAUACCAGUUCGGAAUAAACACCGGACACAACAACAGCCGACGGCAUGCCACAGCACGUCCAGAUACAGAGGGGCUCCUCACCCCCUGUGCUUUACUGAAGAAGUAAUGGACCAUGAAUUUCCACAGGGCUUUAUACCUAUGAACAUAGAGGCAUAUGACGGAACAACAGACCCAGGGGUCUGGAUCGAGGACUUUAUCCUGCAUAUACAUAUGGCUCAUGGGGAUGACCUCCACGCCAUCAAAUACCUUCCCCUCAAACUAAAGGGACCAGCUCGACACUGAUUGAAAAGCCUCCCCGAAAAUUCAAUUGGGAGUUGGGAAGAACUUGAGGACGCUUUCAGGGCCAAUUUUCAAGGGACUUAUGUCCGGCCUCCGGAUGCUGACAAUUUAAGUCACAUAAUCCAACAGCCUGGAGAGUCCGCCCGCAAGCUUUGGAACAGAUUCCUCACUAAGAAGAAUCAAAUUGUCGAUUGUCCGGACGCUGAAGCCUUAGCGGCAUUCAAACACAACAACCGCGACGAGUGGCUCACCAGACACCUCGGCCAAGAAAAGCCAAGGACAAUGGCAGCCCUAACAAGCCUUAUGACCCGCUUUUGCGCGGGUGAAGAUAGCUGGCUAGCCCGUAAAGGCGCCAGCGACCCCAGCACAUCCGAAAUAAGGGAUGGCAACGGGAAGCCACGGCAUAAUAAAAACAAACGCCAAAACAAGGAAGAGAGCCCGGAUAACACAACGGUUAAUGCCAGAUUCAGGGGCUCUCGACCUGAUCAGCAAAAGAAGCCAUUUAAAGGCAGUAAAGAGGGACCGUACGGUCUGAAUAGAGUCCUAGACAGACUGUGCCAAAUUCAUGGCACCCCUGAAAAACCUACAAACCACACGCACAGAGAGUGCUGGGUCUUCAAGUAGGCCAGCAAAUUAAAUGCCAAACACAAGGGAAGGGAAACACCAAGUGAAGACGAGGAUGAAGCUCUCCAGCUGAACACUAGGGGACAGAAAAUAUUCCCGCCAGAGGUUAAAACAGUGAACAUGAUCCACACGACUCACACAUCCAUGAGAAGGCACGAACGCGCGCAUAGAGACGCGCUCGAUAUAGAGCCCAUCGUACUCACACCUAACUACUGGAUGUCUUAGCCGAUCACCUUCGAUCACUUGGACGGCCAAACUAGUAUUCGGCACGGAGGAUCAAAGGCCUUGGUGCUUGACCCAAUAAUUGACGGAUACCGUCUCAACCAUGUCCUCAUGGACGGCGGCAGUAGUCUCAAUUUAAUAUACGAGGACACUGUCCGCGGGAUGGGGAUAAACCCAUCUAGAAUCAGCCAAAGCAACACCACCUUUGAAGGGGUGAUACCAGGCGUUGAAGCCUACGGCAGGGGCUCCGUUGUACUGGAGGUAACAUUUGGCUCCCCAGGCAAUUCCAGAAGCGAAGAACUACUCUUCACCAUCGCACCCUUCCAAAGCGGCUAUCAUGCAUUGCUUGGAAGAACGGCCUUCGCCCGCUUCAACGCAUUACUGCACUAUGGCUACCUUAUACUCAAGAUGCCCGGUCCACGUGGCGUCAUCACCGUUAACGGAAUCUCAGAGCGCUCUUCACGCACAGAGGAACACGCGAUGGCCCUAGCGGCCGGACUAUAAGCGGCCUCCAAUAUCAAAAACAUGACUGGUCGUUAAGACCACAGACACGGUUAGACGAGUCCGGUAGCCCGGAUAUAAUCAAACUAGGGCACCGUAUAUGUAAUCCCAUAGCGGACACCAUGGGCUAUAAAUAUUUAAUAAAUCCCCACACUUGGCUCAACCUUAUUGGCAGGCCAACAUCUUAUACUUUUAAUAUCCAUCGCAUACUUACAUUGUACUCUCCUAUGAGUUUUCUUUUUCCACAGACAAUGUUUGCACAAUACCCUUCCAGGAUACGGCACAAUGGAGACAAAUGCGCAGACAUGCAGCAGGGCCCCGUUCAACAGGUUUCUUUUUAGAUUAAGCCCCUGUGUAAACCUAUUCUAUUGCCUCUUGUUGUUUAACCAUCCCAUGGGUUCUAUACCCAUAGAGGAUACUGUCGUUAUCGGCAUUUCACCACGACAGAUUAGCGCACGUACCUGGAAACACAUGGUUUAUAAUGAAUGGGCAUUCUUGAGCCCAUCGUCUGUUAUAAAGUCCGAAUACCUUCGAGAGUGUUCGGCGUCACGAAUUUGGCCUUAUAUGCAUCAGCUCCGAAUCAUGUCUUUGGUCAAAUGUUGGGUUUGCCCGGCUCCUGGGUUAGCCGCCUUAUGUUCCGUUAUUAUCGGCUAAGGUGGCCAAAGGAGAACUACUGCAAUUGUGCCCUGGUUAUUCCGGAUGAGCACCUCAGUAGAGAAAGCCGAAAACUGACUGUCAUGAUACAGCGAGAGACUGAUCAACCACUCGAAGACUCACCGGAAUCUUUAGGAUUUCUCCACAUUAACGAAGGGCCAUUUCCCGGUCAUGUACAUACGCGCCCAUAUUUGGAUGCACGCGAAGGUACCAGGGGCUACAUAGUAGCCCCAACGUUAGACUCCCAUGGCUAAGCGAAAGUGUUACAGCUAUAUAGUCUGGUUGCCUAGUUCGACGUGCGAUCACCUCCUUAAUGGACCAAGACAUUGGAUCAAGUGUGAUUAAGCAUAUUUUUCACGAACACCCCCGCAUUGUAUGCGUGGGGGCUGAAGCCAACGACUGCUAACUUUCGGAUUACAUAUUUGUAUAUAUUUAUACAUAUAAACGGCCGCACAGGGGACACAAUCAUAUUUUCAGGCAAACAGUAUAAAUAUAGCCUCAUAAUCAAAAUAAACAUUGUUUUUUACAAUGAUUCGACUCAUCACUCGAAUAAGACAUUCUUCGAGCACUGCGCCUCUAUUAGGUGGGCACCUUCUUUGACCUGCGCCAAGUAGUGCUCGGCCGGAUAUUGGCCCCCCACCGGAUCCUGGGUCACUAUAAUGGUGGCCUCCAUAUCCGUCCAAUAGGCUUUAACACAGGCAAGGGCCAUCCGCGCACCCUCUAUGCACGCCGACCUCCUCAUGGCGUCGAUCCGAGGCACGGCCCCAAGGAAUUGUUGCACCAAACCGAAGUAACUGCCCGACUUAGGCCCCUUCGUCCAAAGAUGGUCUAUAAUAGACCGCAUUGCAAGCCCGGACAACCUGUGAAGCUCCGCUACAGCAGCCAUCUUGUCACUUAAUGGCAGCGGGCAAGUGGGAGCAUUGAAUUGCGACCAGAAAAGCUUCUCCACUUCCUUAUCACCCUGAUCAUCGAAGAACUUGGCAGCGUCAGCUGUACUCUUCGCCAAAUCCGCAUACGCGUCCGCAGGACUCCAACGUCCAUCCAGGGGAGCGUACUUCGGAUCGAAAAACUUCGUCCGCAGCAAGUAGGAGCCCCUAGCCGCGAUUUUACCGGCCUGUUGAAGCUCCUCCCGCGCACCCCUGAGCUCGGUCUGUUUUUCCUUGGUGGCAUUAAGUGCCUUGUUCAGAUCGGCCGAACUAUCCUUAUGCUACUUUUUAAGGAGUUCAUACCGGUCAGCGGCAUUUUUUAACUCCACAGCCAUUUCGGCUAUCUUUUCCUCGCUUCGGCGAUGAGCAGCCUGUUCGGCUCUCAAUUCCUCGGCCGCCUUUAGGGUAGCCGCAUUGCUAACCCGAGCUUGUUCCUUGGCCUGGGCAAGUUCCGCCCUCAGGGCCUCCACGGCAGCAGCACCAUCUGCAGUCCAAACAUUUUUAUAAUCAUGUCAUGUUGCCUUCAUAUCUUCCUAUAUGAAGGAAGGUAGAGCACAUACCUUGUGAUUUGUCUAGCUGCUCGUUCACCAGCAUGAUAUCGGCACAAAUUGAUCCAAUCUGCCUCGUUAGUUCGGCAACUUCAACGGACUGGUCGGUGGCCGGACCCACAGAUACCUGCACGUAUUUAUAGCACAAUCAUUGAUUUGUGAUCCCCCGUUUGCCGCCUAGGGCGGGCAACCAGAGUCUCAGGGGCUACUAGCUAUAUGGAGCACACCUAGCGCGUGCCUCACAGCCAAAAAUAGUGUAUUCUUCACUACAUGCCUCAAAGCCUCUGAGCAGGCUCGUAAAUGCUUCAUUAGAACCGCUUGUAGCGGAUGAAAUCUUCUUCAGUACCACGCUCAUUAAUGAGCGGUGCUCCUCCGAGAGCGGUGCUCCUCCGAGAGCGCAACUCGCUCCAGUAGGCCCGUCAGUACGUCCGGCCGGACAUUGAACUAUGCCAGACCCUUCCCAUCGCCCCUUGUGGGAGCGAACUGCUCCGGGCUCAGGGCGGCUGACGCAUUGGCUUCCGGCUUCGGCAGAUCCGGGCUCCUCUGUGACGACACCUCGAUGUCGCCUGCUUCAUGAGCCAAAGAGGUGGGUGGGGUCUCGCUCUCCAUCAUCUCCGGAGGAAGAUCCCCCGAAGAAGAAGUCUGUUGAGAAGAGCUGCUAGCCGAACUGCAAAGGACGAAUCCUGGUUAUUGAUCUAGGAGAAACACAGUACCUUCAAAUUAACGAUUGACUUACAGCUCGGUGGAGGGCUGGCCCGUUGGCGGGCAUGACACGGUGAGGGUGCCCGUCAGGGCAGGGCCCCCUGGGGAUAUCUUUUUCCCUGGUUUGGGCAUCUCUGUCUCCGAAUCUUCGGAGGCGGCCCUCUUCUUCCCGCGCGGGGAGGAGGCCUUAGCCUCCCCUUCCCUACUAUCCUCCUUAGGGGAGGUAACAAUUCCCCCGGUUCGGAUGUGUAACGUGUGGAGUUCGGUUUCUAGCGCAAUUUCUAGUAAAAAAUCAUGUAUCCUUCCACUUAGAUCAAAAGGAAUUUUUCCAAUAGAACUAUGGAACCCCCGAGUGGUUGCGGUUGUACCUGUACUGCAGGAAUAAGAAAACUCGCUAUUCACUCAGUUUAUUUUCCAUAAUAAGUUAUGUAGGAGAGAUGGCCGAGCGGUUCAAGGCGUAGCAUUGGAACUGCUAUGUAGACUUUUGUUUACCGAGGGUUCGAAUCCCUCUCUUUCCGUUUUUAUUAAUUCAUCAACGUUAAGGAUCACAAUGUAUCAAAUCAAAUAACAAUUUUUUCCAGCAAUAAUAUAAUAUCUUAUAUUAUCUUAUUUUGAUUUAAUAGAAAUUAGAAAUUCUCUAUAGCAAAUUACUACCGCGUUUGGGCAACCCUCUCAACAAUUAAGAGAUCCAUUCGAAGAACACGGAGACUAAUUUAAGUAAGAAGUCCCCCUAUCUGGGAGACUUCUUACUUAAAUGAAAUUAUUUUCCCUGAGGGCAUUCUGCUGAGUACCCGGUCAAGCAUCUUGGCCAUGGUGGGACCAGGUGAGCCUUCGGGAAGUGGCGCCGGACACCUGAUUCUCUCCGCCUUGCUGAGCCAUUCCUGGCCAUGGAUGAUUUUUAGAAUGAACAAUUAUGACAAAUACAAAACAAGGUGUCCAGUAUCAAGGUUACUUACUUGGGUAUCUAGGCGGUUGCAGCUUAGGCCUACAUCCUCGGUGGUGUCCGGACACUCUACUUUCGGUCCGAAGAAUAGUUUGCACAUCCCUUCGGGCUUCAAGCCGAAGAAGUGCUUAACAGUCUGCGGACCCUCUGGAUUGAACUCCCACAUCCGGAGAGGCCGGCGUUGGCACGGCAACAUCCGUCGGAUUAACAUCACUUGCAUUAUGCUGACAAGGUUAAUUCCCCUCUCAAGAAGCUCUCGGAUGCGGCUCUGCAGUACUGGUACAUCGCCAGCGGGCCCCCAAUUCCAUCCUACGUCGGUCCAAGACGCUAGUUGUGACGGAGGUCCCGAGCGGAACUCGGGGGCGGCCACCCACUUUAUGCCUCUAGGAGCCGUGACAUAAAACCACCUCCGUUGCCAUACAUCGGAUACUUUUGGAAAAGAACCCUCUGGCCAUGGGGCAUCGGCAUUCCUACUUAUUACGGCACCUCCGCACUCCGCGUGUCACCCCUCGAUCAUCUUCGGCUUCACACUGAAGGUCUUGAGCCAUAAGCCGAAGUGUGGGGUGACAUGGAGGAAGGCCUCGCACACUAUAAUGAACGACGAGAUAUGGAGGAUGGCGUCCGGAGCUAGAUCAUGAAAAUCCAACCCAUAAUAGAACAUGAGCCCCCUCACAAAAGGAUCGAGGGUGAGGCCCAAGCCACGAAGGAAGUGAGGAACAAACACUACACACUCAUUGGGCUCCGGUGUAAGGAUGACCUGCCCUAGAGCAGGAAGCCUGUGUUGGAUGUCGGCGAUCAGAUAUCCAACGUCCCUAAGCUUCGCAAUGUCCUCCUUUUGAAUCGAGGAGGCCACCCACCGGCCUUGAGGGUUGGAUCCAGACAUAUUGGAGGAAUUUGGGGUGUUGGAGCUUGGUCUCGGGUGUUAGAGCUCGAGGUGCGAAAAGGCGCGAGGGAGGUGGAAAAGAGGCAUAGGCCUCGGCCCCUUUUAUAAAGGGGGUGAAUAUCAAGAUUCCUUAGGGUGACAGUUGGAGGUUUACCUGACGGCAGACGGGGUCAUACCAACGGCCGUCAUGGGGUUACGCACGCCCAUAUUGAUGGAAAAUCCCGUGAUAAGGGGAACACGAUCUCUGCCUUGACAGGAUGUGCCAAUAAAACCGCCUCGUAGCGCGAAUUGAGGUGGGGCGAGAAGCACCGUUUCGUGUUGGACCAGGCCACGAUGCAAGGGAACGACGUAUGAAGAUUGCCAGCAGAUCAGAUUUACGCUAUGUUCCCUACAAUGGUACGUGAAGAUCAUCUUGCAGAUCCGGACACGGUUUGAGUGUUCGGUAACUACUUUGGAGUAUUCGGAGAAGGAACCCGCCUUGCAAUGCCGAAGACAAGACUGCGCGCCGGACUUAUCGUCAUUGAAGCCUGGUUCAGGGGCUACUGAGGGAGUCCUGGAUUAGGGGGUAUCCGGACAGCCGGACUGUAUACAUCAUCCGGACUAUUGAAGCGUGAAGAUACAAGACUCAAGACUUCGGCCCAUGUCCGGAUGGGACUCUCCUUUGCGUGGAAGACAAGCUUGGCGAUUCGGAUAUUGUGUUUCCUUCCUUGUAACCGACUCAAUGUAAACCCUAGCCCUCUCCGGUGUCUAUAUAAACCGGAGAGGUUGGUCCUUAGAAGGCCGAUCACAAUUACAAUCAUACCAUCAUAGGCUAGCUCUUAGGGUUUAGCCUCUACGAUUUCGUGGUAGAUCUACUCUUGUACUACCCAUAUCUUCAAUAUUAAUCAAGCAGGAAGUAGGGUUUUACCUCCAUAGAGAUGGCCCGAACCUGGGUAAACAUUGUGUCCCUUGCUUCCUGUUACCAUCAGCCUAGACAUACAGAUCGGGACCCCCUACCCGAGAUCCGCCGAUUUUGACACCGACAACGGCAGCCUCACACCGCAGCCAAACAAGUGAACCCUCAUACUCCUCUCCGUGUGGGCAUCCACUAUCGCGUCUUCCCCGGCUCUGCGCCGUCCCAUUCCUAGGCCUCAUCAUCGUCCACCGCCUUGGUACUCUCGGUGCGCCGUGGUCAAUGUGGUCAAGGAACGACUUCCAUCGGAAGAGUACUGUACAUGGAGAGGCUAACAGCUGGGUCCACGGCCGGAGCAAGGAAGUGUAACCUUAUUAUGCGUAAAAUAAUGAUUCCUCCACCUGACAGCAGGGACCCACCGGACGGGGUACCGUAUUUCAUGAAAAAAAUUAUUCUCUCCCUGACAGUUGGGACCCAUCGGCUAUAUCUUCGCAUGCAAGGAAGUGCCUCCUUAUCCUCCCUGGCAGUCAGGACCCACCUGGUCGAAGCGUACGUAGCAUUGUCAUUCUAGUCGCGAAUGUGUACGUACAUAUUGGUCGAUCGGUCUGUCUGCAAGCUGCAGCGAUGGACCGUGACCGAGUAAGGAAGGGCACGUGUCAUAGUAGAGGCAUGCACGUAGCAUGUACAUGUACAUAUAGCUAGGGUGCAAGAAAGUAAAUACGGCCACAUACGUACAUACAAGCGGGGUCUCGAACGCCUACUCGCGCAUACGUAUGGCCAGGGCUCGUGUACAUGGCUGGGUCAGAAUGGAGAAACUACAUCGUCGUGUUCAUCGGUAGGCAACGGAAUGCGUCGUGUUCAUCGGGAGCCAACCGGCUUGGAUGGAACAGCCGAUCGAAAUGAGGCUUGGCAUACCUACAACGGAAGAAACGGCCUUGUGUUCGACCGACUACGGUCGAAACAGGAUCCUAUUCAUCGGGAGGGGUGUGGCGUACCGCAAAACGGAGGAAACAGACUUCUCUUCGACCUCCUACAGUCGAAACGGGGUCCUGUUGAUCGGGAGGGAUGUGGCGUACAACAAAACGGAGGAAACUGACUUGUGUUGGAGCGCUACGGUUGAGACGGGGGUCCUGUUCAUCGGGAGGGGUGUGGCGUAUUGCAAAACGGGAUUCCACGGGCUACUGUUCAUCUCCAUCGUCAACCUCCUCCACCCUUCACGGGCUAUUGUUCAUCCACCGUCGACCUCCUCCAGCAUCCACCUGCGACUGUUCCUCCAUGAGCUCCUGUUCAUCUAGCCUCCAUCGCUCCUCCACUGGCUACUGUUCAACCAACCCUCUCCACGGGGUCCUGUUCAACCACCCCUCCACGAGAUACUGUUCAUCCAACCCUCCACGGGGUCGUCCUGUUCAUCAAGCCCUCCACGGGAUCCUAUUCAUCCACCCCCAAUCGGCUCGACCGACCGGGGUCCUGUUCAUCCAGCGGCAAUGACCUCUACUACCACAGGGUCCUGUUCAUCCAACCCCCACCAGGAACAGCCAGAUCGAUCGAUCGCUCAGGUUCAGUAACGCAUAGCUUGCAGUGCAAUCGCUCGGGUUCAGUAGGUGAACGCCUCGGGUUCAGUUAUAUCCCAACGCCUCGCACCCACGCGCGUACGUGUACGAGAGAAACGCGCAUCGCUCGGCCCUGACCAUCCACCGUAACCGGGAACUCCCCGAUAUUUUCCUCGCCCUCGCUUCUACCAGGGUUUUUUUCCGUCAUGGACGGUCCAAAGAAUGUCAUGCAGCUUCGUCUCCGGCCCGCCCAGGACGAAAAGCCCAUUUUCUGUCAUGAUUUUUUGUCAUAGAAGUAGGAGCCCACCACAUCUAUGACGAUACCAGGUUUUGUCAAAAUUAUCGUCGUAGAAGUGUCAUAAGCAUGACAAAAAAAAUCGUUUGGCCCAAAAUGCCAUGGAUGUGUCUGUUUUUUGUAGUGCAUACUUUCACUUUCCAUGGCUAGCCGUAUCCACGGGUGCCUUCCAUACCAACACUUUUCAAGGAAUUUAUUAUUUGACAACAUAAAGUAGAUUUAUUUUUCAUUUCGGGACUGGGCAUCCCUAACACCUUUUUCUUACUCUCGUGCAAUGACAAGUGAAUAAGCAUUCAUCUUGAAAAUAACAUAUCUAGGAUGGAAAUAUAUUAGCCACCCCCUACCGUUUCAUGAGCAGUACGAGCACACAAAAGAGAAAUGUAUUUUGAAAAUUAGAGAUUGCACAUACAAAUUUGCUUAGAACGGCAAAAGAAUACCGCAUAUAGGUAGGUAUAGUGGACUCAUGUGGCAAAACUGGUUUAAAGGAUUUUGGAUGCACAAGUAGUGAUCAUACUUAGUGCAAAAUGAAGGAUAGCAAAAGAUUGAGAAGCGAUCAACCAAGAAACGAAAAGAAUCUCAUAAGUGGGCACUAAGCAUAAUUAACACCGAAUAAUGCACCACAACUAGGAUGUAAUUUCAUUGCAUAACUAUUGACUUUCGUGCUUGCAUAGGGAAUAACAAACCUUAACACCAAUAUUCUUACUAAAGCAUAAUUACUCAUCAACAUGACUCACAUAUCACAUCAUCAUAUCUCAAAACUGUUACAAGGAAUCAAAUUUAUUUUUCCCAAUGGUCUUCAUGAGAGUUUUUAUUAUAUCCUUCUUGGAUAUCUAUCACUUUGGGACUAAUUUUCAUGUGUUGCUUUUGAUAAGCUCAAGGAAAUAUAAGUGAAGAUCAUGAGCAUAAUAUUUCUUUCUCUCAAAUUAAUUUAAGUCAAGCAAGAGAGAAUUUCUUAAAAAUUUACUAAAUCUCAAAUAAAUCUAAAUGAAGCAUGAGAGCAUUUCUUCAAAAAUACUAAUGCACACCGUGCUAAAAAAGGUAUAAGUGGAGCACUAGAGCAAUUCCAUAGCUCAUAACGAUUUAAGUGAAGCAUAGAGAGCAAUUCUAACAAGUCAUGGCAUAAUUUUGGCUCUCUCAAAUAGGUGUAUCCGGCAAGGAUUCAAGACUUAAAAUAAAAGAAAAACAAGGAAAGACUCAUAUCACACAAGAUGCUCAAAGCAAAACUCAUAGUAUGUGACGAAUAAAAAUAUAGUUCCGAGUAAAAUACCGAUGGUUGUUAGAAGAAAGAGGGGAUGCCACUCGGGCAUCCCCAAGCUUAGUUGCUUGCUUCUCUUCGGAUAAUAGCUUGGGAUGCCAUGGGCAUCCCCAAGCUUAGGCUCUUCUUACUCCUUAUUCCUUCAUCCAUCGUAACAUCACCCAAAACUUGAAAACUUCAAUCACACAAAACUCAACAAACCUUCAUGAGGUCCGUUAGUAUAAGAAAGCAAAUCACUACUAUAAGUAUUGUUGCAAACCCAUUAAUAUUUUAUUCUUGCAUUAUAUCUACUAUAUUCCAACUUUUCUAUGGAAAAACUCUUCAAAGGAAACCAUGGAAUCAUCAAAACAAGCACACAACGCAAAGAAAAACAGAAUCUUUCAAAAAACAUAACAGUCUGUAGCAAUCUGGUUAUUUCAAAUAUUCUGUAAGUCCACAAAUUCUGAAAAAUUAGGACCACGUGAGAAAUGUGUAUAUUACUCUUCUGCAAAAGGAAUUGGUAUUUUGUCACACUUUUGUUAAAAUUAAGAAUUGUUUUCGUGAGCAUAAAAGUUUCUGUUUUUCAGCAAGAUCAAAUCAACUAUCACCCAACAUGAUCUCAAAGGAUUUUCUUGGCACAAACACUAAUUAAAACACAAAAAAUAUAAUCAUAACAGUAGCAUAAUUGUGCAAACACUCAAGAACAGAAAGAAAAAUACAAAAAUAAAUUUUAUUCAUUGGGUUGCCUCCCAGAAAGCGCUAUCUUUUUACGCCCCUAGCUAGGCAUAAAGCAAAUGAUCUACGUUUUGUUAUCCUUCUCCAACUCUUGAAUCAAACACUUAGAACUCUUCAAAGACUUAGCAUAUAUAUUUUCAACAACAAUACUUCUAGGAGAAAGGUUAAGAAUUCAUAUUUCCCGAUAGGAUCUCAUAUUAUUUCAACAUAAUCCGGGUGAAUACUAAUCAUCUUAAGAUCUAGUUUUUUGCUAUUGGAAGUUGCCCCCUUGUGAUUAGUAACUUGAGUAAUUUUUCUAAAUUUUUACGGGAGUUUUUUCAAUAGUUUCAGCGGAAGCAAAAGCCAUGCUUAAAUUACUAAAGAUUUCUUCCAGUUUAUCAAUCCGAGACGGGCUUUCUUCAAUUCUUUUAUGAACUACGGUCCCCUUUUCUUUUAGAAACUUAAAAACUUCUCCCGCUUUUGACUCAAUUUUAUUAGCAAAAUUAUGCAUCUUUCUAUCCAAGUUUUCACUAUGUUCUUCGGUAAGCAUUUUCUUUCCAAUAGCAUCUAGUCUUUCCAUGACAUGCUCAAGAGUCAAAGUUGUUUCAUUAAUCAUAAGAGGUGGUGAGCCCGCUAAAUUUCCCAUAGCAUUAAAAGCAUCAAGAGAGGGACACAUCAAGAAAUUUCCACCGGUAAUCAUAUCAAGGACGAAUCUAUACCAAGUGGUGAUGCCCACAUAGAAAUAGCGAAGCGGAACAACGGUAGAUUGCUUACGGAUAGAUCUAUUAUGAGCAUUGCAAAUCCUAUACCAAACAUCUUUUAAAUUCUCUCCUCCCCUUUGUUUAAAGUUGAGAACCUCUUUCUCGGGAGUGCACGCAAUAGAGGAAGAACUAUCCAUAACGGCAAAAGUAGCAAACAAGAUUGCACUCAAAAACAGAUCUGACGAGAAAACGGCAAACGAAAAAAGAGGGCAAAUAAAAUGGCAAAUUUUUGUGAAGUGGGGGAGAGGAAAACGAGAGGCAAAUGGAAAAUAAUGUAAAUUGUAAGGAGAUGAGAUUUGUGAUUAGGAACCUGGUAGAUGUUGAUGAUGUCUCCCCGGCAACAGUGCCAGAAAUUUCUUUUGAUGUUUGCUUGAACUACGUUAGUAUUUCCCCAAAGAGAAAGGGAUGAUGCAGCACAACAACGGUAGGUAUUUAUCUCAGUGAUGAGACCAAGGUUAUCGAACCAGUAGAAGAACUACGCAACACUACAUGAAUGUCACCUGCACACAAAUAACAAACAUUCGCAACCCGACGUAUUAAAGGGGUUGUCAAUCCCUUUCGGGCAACGGUGCCAGAAGUUGGCAAGUAGAUGGGAUAAAAAUAUGAUAGAUUGGACAAAUAGAUCUCACAGGAACGCAAGAUAAAAUAAAUAAACAAAAAUUGCAGCAAGGUAUUUUUGUAUUUUUUGGUUUAAUAGAUCUGAAUAUAAAAGCAAAUAAAAAUAUAUCGCGAAGGCAAAUAUAAUAAAGACGAGACCCGGGGGCCGUAGAUUUUACUAGUGGCUUCUCUCGAGAAAAAUAGCAAACGGUGGGUAAACGAAUUACUGUUGUGCAAUUGAUGAAACUUCAAAUAAUCAUGACGAUAUCCAAGCAAUGAUAAUUAUAUAGGCAUCACGUCCAAGAUUAGUAGACCGACUCCUGCCUGCAUCUACUACUAUUACUCCACACAUCGACCACUAUCCAGCAUGCAUCUAGUGUAUUAAGUUCAUGGAGAAAUAGAGUAAUGCAAUAAGAACGAUGACAUGAUGUAGACAAGAUCUAUUUAUGUAGAAAUAGACCCCAUCUUGUUAUCCUUAAUAGCAACGAUACAUAUGUGUCGUUUCCCCUUCUAUCACUCAGAUCAAGCACCGUAAGAGUGAACCCAUCACAAAGCACCUCUUCCCAUUGCAAGAUAAAUAGAUCAAGUUGGCCAAACAAAACCCAAAUAUUACAGAAGAAAUACAAGACUUUAAGCAAUCAUGCAUAUAAGAGAUCAAAGUUCUAGGCAGAAGUUCAACUUAACAGUCUCUGCUGAAACACUAGUAUUAAACAAGUGGUGAGAGAAGGCAAAUCUCUAAAUGGGUAUUUGAGAUCUCAAAUAGUGGCCCAUGUGUAAAAUGGCAAGUAGUGAUGCUAAAGUUUAGUCCCACCCCGGAACUUGAAGAACAGUUGGACCUCUUUCUAUAUUGGGUUCUCUCCACCACUCUAAGUGGUGUGUGAGAAGAGAAAAGGAAGACCACACGCGCGCGCUCGCUCGCCUAGUUUAUGAUUUAUUGUCCGAUAAGUAUACGGAUUAGAAAUCAAGUCGGUUUGGGAUUGUGAUCGCGACACAAUACCGCCUCUGGUCCUAAUAUAUAUACAUCUACCGGCUGCGGCCAAAAACACACCGAAAACACCAAGGGUUUUGCCUCAUCUUGCAACUUGCGCCGCCGUCGUAGUCUACUCCAUCCCAAACGCCGGCGUGCAUCGGCGCGUGGGAGAGCAGGUCUCCGGAACCGUUCGUCCUUGUGAUCCUGCACCGGGUGAGGACGAAUUAGGUUUUUGGGAAGCGCUCUGCGCGACUGUUCAAAUUCAUCAUCACGGGUCGUCUUCUGUCCGAGUCGGGCGGUGCUACUCAUCAUCGCCUUCAUCACCGUCAGCGGCAGAUUGUCGCCAACAUCGUCAUCAACACUGUCGCAUCCACAAUAACUAACGAACAGUACGUCCAACAUCAUUUGUUCAUGUCUGUCUCUACCGCUGUUGUUUCGUGUACGCUGUUGUUCUACAUGUUUUGUUGUUAUUUUAGUUUGCUAGAUUGUUGCAUGCUAAUAUCGGUUCUAGUCAUGAAUUAUUUACUGAAAUUAAUCAUGAACUUGCCUAAUUUUCUAACAGUACUCAUGGCUAUAAAGUUCGAGAGAUGGGCAAGAAAAAAAGGGGUGGGGUCAGCUUUGGAGUAGCAUGGCCAGUCAUGUGACUUCUACUUAAUUUUAUGUUAGGAAAUUAAAAUAAAUUCACUUCUAUAAUUUAACUAUUUGAAUCAUAUUGAUUGUUAAUGUUUCUCAUGAUGACACUACACCAACAGGAUGAAUUGAGUAUGGUUGGGCGAAGUGCAGGACGAAGAACAUCCUGAGCGUCGACGGGCUCGAUCGCAUCUUCGGUCCGGCCACCGACCAUGUCAAUCACAAAUAGCCGAAAAUGCACUUUGGUGCACGAGCACCAUGUAGCUCGAUAUCCUAAGCGCUUAGUUCCCUUAUGAUCUGUAUCUCCUGUGUAUUCCAAGCCUGUAGACGGUCAAUUAAUUCCUGAAAGUACUGUAUUUUUGGAUAUGUGCUGUCGGUCGUGGCCCAGCCCAUUCAUUGCCGUUUUUUGUUUGUUUGGUACGAUUGCUGCAGGGGGCAUGUACCAAAACAUGUGUUAACUUAGUACUGAUUAACAAUCAGCGUAUUAGGUCAAGCGUAAUUAGGAUUUAGCACUAAAUAUCAUUGCAAAGUGACCAAAAGUAUCUCGUAUCCGUCACCAAAAAACAGGAUUGCAGAAUUAAGAAGGUUGUACAUUUUUUGCAGCGGGAACAAGAUUGCACUAUGACCCGCAAAAAAAAACAAGAUAGAUUACAAAAUAUUAUUCUACAAUUGUAAUUGCAGGUGAUGAUUAUGUUUAUGUCAUGGACAGAAGUUCUUCCAAGUACAACUAAUGAUUCAUCAAGAGAUGCACAAUAAUAUCUCACGUGAUGUUUACUAAUUUUCCCGGUCUCACGGUAUAAGAGAGUUACAUUAUUGUGCACAUAUACAUAAUUUUUUGCUUUUUAAAAUCACCCAAAAUAUCACUUACGGAUACCAUAUGUACGAAUCCACAACAUGAUCAAGGAAUUUUGGCUAGGGAAUGCUUCCGAGAAGAUCAACAUUAUCAUUCUUGAUGAUUGUAACCCCUGGCAAAAGAUUUGCCUCAUCUAUUAAAUAAGAAGAGAAUAGAGUUUGUUACAAGGGUGAUUCAAUAACGAAACGGCACCCGACAUGCUUCCAUCAAGGUUUCCUCGAUCCCCUCCGCUCCAACAAUUGAAUCGCCUCCGGACUCAGCAUGCUCCAAUCCAUGAUGGCUUCAACCCAUGAUUAUUGACGCGGCACAGGAGGUAGGACCUUUUUAUCUUCUCAAUGAAAAUUUGACCAGAUUUUUUAUGUGCGAUUUAAAUAGACAUACAUUUUCACAAAUAAAUUGUACAAGAUGAAUUAUUGCAACGUCUCUUCCCAAGAAUCAUGAUGGACAAAGUGACAAUUCAAAAGGACUGGAUCCAACAUUAUGUUACUACCGAAAUUAGAAAUCCUUUUAUUUUCAUCUACUAUUAAAAAGUAGUACUCCCUCUGUUCAUUUUUAUAAGACGUUUCAGACAGCAUACAUUGAACUGUUUUGACUUCUGUCUGAAAUGGCUACAACGUCUUAUAAAAGUGAACAAAGGGAGUAGUAUUUAAGUUCUUGAAAUACUUGGAACUCUGACAAAAAAUUAGCAUGUAUGUACCAUUGUUCAUAAUGCAAAUAAUAUCUUAAAAUCCUUUGAAUUAGUAAUUAAACUUUUGAAGAAUAUGCUUCAAAGUUGAGAAAUAGGCACCCGACAUGAAGUUAUCCCCUUCCUCUCCAACCGUGGCCCUUCCACCAUAUGUUUCUCCCACUCAAAAAAUCUUCCAUGCACAACUCUUCUUCAACCCUAGGGCAGCGGGGACUUGAAGGAGGCAUCAUUUGAGGGAAUGAGUACAAUUCUUCACAUCUAUGGCCCAUGGUCCAGAUAAUGGCAAUCCUAAAUGGGCUAACUGAACCAAAAUGAAGACUGAACUCCGAUUAAAUUCUCCAUGGCCAAAACAUCCAAAUAAAUCAACCUGUAGCAACGAACGGGCAUAUUUACUAGUAAUAUACUAAGAGGAUUAUGGUUGUGACUUUUCUUACCAGCUUAUUGGAUCUGUAGCUUAUCAAGGGACUGAGCUUGGGUGACUUAACUGCACCUGUCUUUGGGUGUAUGACAUAUGGGCCAGACACCUGUUGGGCCCACCUGUAAGGCAGAAGGAUUAUGGCUGCGACUUUUCUUACCAGAUUAUUGGAUCUGUAGCCCAUCAAGGGACUGAGCUUGGGUGACUUAACUGCACCUGUCUUUGGAUGUAUGACAUGUGGGUCGGACAUCUAUUGGGCCCACCUGUCAUACACCCAAAGGCAGAUGCAGUAAGUCACUGAAGUUGCUGGUCAUACCCAACAUCUCUCCCUUGCUUUUGCUUUGCUAGACUAGAUUGGUGAAAAUCAAUGAAACAACAGUAAGAAACGGGUUGGUGCCGCCGUUGAUAGCAAAUGAACUGAUGUUCCCUCUCUCCAAAAUGAACUGAUGUUCGUGGCAUGCCUGUACAACCUGAUGGUAUUUUAUUUUAAUACAGUACAGACACAUUUAUUUUUUGAUUUAUUUUAGGAUUUCCGGCGAUGCGCAUUCAGUGUAAGGAGGCAUUCCCGUCGAUGACGAGGUGCCUACGUUGACUUCGUAAAUUUCAACAUGAUAUGCCCGCUCAGUCUUUAGAGCUGCUCAUAGAGGUAUGGUGUGCGUGUGUGUUCAUAAAGAUGAGUGUACGCAUGUGUAUAUGAGUGUUUGCAUCUGUACUGUGUAUAACCUAAUGACACAUGAGCUCAAACAAACAGCCAAAGUCAUUUAUUUUUCGGGUGUAAGGCGAAGAAAAAUUAGACAGUGAUGGGACGGGACGGCAACGCUUUACUGCAACACAUUGCGUCUCACGGAAAGGAGCAAGAGUGACCGAGCGGUGUUACAGGUGAGGAAGAAUCUGUACAGCAUGAACAAUUUACUACUCUAUGCAUUACUCUUGGUGCAGGAUGCACAACAUCCAAUCUCCAAGAAAAAUGAACGGCCCUCCCAUGCACGGGACCUUCCAUGCAUGGGAGAAAUGCUACCAUGCACGGGACCUGCCGUGCAUGCAUCCACCGUCUUGUUUAUUACUAUGUGGGACCACUGACAUCACCUAUAACAUUUUCUUCCUCCCUCCCGCGUUUCAGGGGUGGCGGGACCCCAACAUGCGUGGAGGUGCGGCCGAUCUAUAAGCGACGACAUUGGCUUCGACGGCGGCGGCGGUCGGCCCUGCCUCGAGCCACGGGCGGCUACUGCGGCGGCUGGCCUGGAUCGGGCGGCGGCGUGAUGCGGUCUUCGGCGGCAUGUCAUCUGGCUUUAGAUCGGCGGCGGCGUCGAGGGCCUGGUGGGCUGCUUGGCGGCACCCAUGGCAGAUCUAUUCUGGCCGAUGUAGCCAGUGGUGGUGGUCAUCUCUUCGUCGGCGGUGGCCGGCCAGAAGCUUGGUGAUCGGAUCUCGAGAUCCAUCAUCUAGUCUCGGCUGCGAGUUGGGGAGACAUGGUUGUCGGUGAAAACCAAGCCGAUGGCAGGCGAUGGCGGCGUUCUACGCCGUUACCUUGAUGAAGGCAUCGUCGUGUAACUACUGUCGACCCACUCGUGCUGCUCCGGGGGAAACCCUAGGAUCUGGUGUUUCAGAUCGGACGAUGGCGGCACUGCGGUGUCGUUUCUCUCUUGGGAGCAUCGUUUGUGGAGCAGCGCUAGAAGUCAGAGGCAGGAUGUCAAGCGGCUUCGUCUUGCACGGAGCUUCGGUGGAGAUGUCAAGUCAUGCCUGACCGACAGGUGCUACGCUUGGUCAUGCCUGGUCGGCAGGUGCUACACACGACAGAUCCUCCAAGGACCUCAAGCUGUGCCGGCUGGUGAUACUUGGCAGCAUGGCGCUGAGGUGUAUCAGUGGCGAUCGCAACGUGUUCAGCUGUUUGCGCGCAGGGAGGAGGUGCCGUUGGGCGCCGUGGUGGCGUCGACAAUAGCUGGACCGAGCAAGGUUGAUGCAUCAGUACAUUUCUGAAGAUGGAGCGGUGGUAGUUGGCGGCGGCGGCCUCUGAGAGCACGCCGGACCAGUGUGUGCCCCAGACCCGACAAAUGGCUAGGUUAGGGUCUUAGGUCUUAGAUGUUAGGCUUGACUGCGAUGUCUGUUUGGUAUUAGGCUCAGGUUAUCUGCGUCCCUUCAUCAACUGGAUAGGUGUAGCGACAGUUUGUUGCUUAGACGGCGGCUUUAGUCUUACUGUUGUAUUGAUUUUGUAAAGUCUUGUGAGAAUAAUUAAUAAAGUGGCCGUAUGCAUCGCCCAGAUGCAGAGGCCGGGGGUCAUCCUUCUUUUCUAAAAAAAAAUUAGCAUACAUUCACAUGUUAUUCUAUUCACCAAGUUUCAUCCAAAUAAAUAGAUGCAUACUGUAUGUUAAAAUAGAAGUUUGAUUUACAUUCUGUUUUCAUAAUUGUGUUUUUUCUGGCAAGAUCUUUCAAACAAGACCAAUAUUGAAUAUAUUUUUUGCAAGUAACUACCAUGCUUCAAACUUGUUUCAUACAAAUUUAUCAAUUUGAUGCAAAAAUUCAAUAAUGAGUUACUCAAACAAAACUUUGAACUUUAAUAGUGUUUGACAAAGUAUCUCAUAGUUUUGUUUACUUUUAAUAGUGUUUCAGUGUGUUCUAAAAUUUGAUUAUUUUUAGAACAUGCUGAAACACAUUCAAAAGUGGUAUCGUUUUAAAGUUCUCCUCGUCAUAAACACAAAUACGCAAAAGGAUCAUAAAUUGUACUUUUGGUUUAAAAGGUAAAAUAGUUUUAAACUUAGAAAUAAAAUAACAAAGCAUGGGAUGGUGAAGCAUGGGCUUGCAUGUGGUCAAGAAAGAUCUGACAAACUAGAGCGUUAAUGCACAACAUUCAAUCUCCAAGAAAAAUGAACGGCCCUCCCAUGCACAGGACCUCCCAUGCAUGGGAGAAAUGCUUUUCUGAGGAUCCUACACAUACCCGACGAGAUGGAAACUGCUUGGAUUUUCACGAGCAAACCGGACGUGAUUUUGUGAUAAACUCUUCCGUAUUUACUACCAUCGGGGCCACGCGAUUUUCCUUGGGCAACCAGACGCUCUACAUUCUAUUCUAGGGUUCGCCUCCGUCUUUAUAUAUACCCGUAUAUCGAUGAGCAAAUGGAUAUCUCACAGACCCCGUGUAAACCUCCACACAAAACAUUCCCUCCUCUCCUCGGCGACAUGAAGAGCGGCGGAUCACGUCUGCCGACGGUCAACAAGAAGUCCUCGCAGCGGUCCUCCAGCAGCAAGGCCGGCGGCGGUGAAGCACGUCCGGCGCCCAAGAGGGAGUCCGGCGGGCUGAAGAGGAAGGAGGCGCCGGCGGGACGCGUCGAGUCGCGCGCCACGAAGAGCAAGGGGGAGGACGGCGGCUCCAGGCCGGCCGGGAAGGCGGCGGCGCUGGCGGCGUCCAAGAAGGCGUUCGGCAUUUCCGAUGACACGGUGGUGGUCGAGAUGGACGACCACGGCCACUUCUAUCGCGAGAAGGAGUUUCCCUAUAAUGCCGAGUUCAUGGCGAAGGCCAGAGAUCGGUACGACAAGCACAUCCAGGAGCGCACGGACCGCUCGGAGUUUGUCCUCAAGUUUCGGGACAACUACAUCUAUUUCGGCAACGGGGACGAAUCCGACUGAGGAUCGGAUCUAGUUGAGCGAGGUGUGAUGAUGAUCACGUCGUCAAUAAACGCAUCGGUCUGCUACGUUAGGGUACCUAUGUUGGGUUGCUUCAGAUGGUCUGUCUUGGUAUAUGAGUAACGUACUCAAAGUUUUUAAGUCUUCUUAUUUUGCGAGUUUGGAGGAAAUGGGGUGAAAUUUGGUACAGAAACUGCUGCCGGCACUUUAAUGCGGAUUGGUAGGAGUACUCCGUAUGAUUUAAUCAUCAUUGCAUGAAUGAAACAUGCGAUCUUUGAUGGCAUCGCAUGUACUUUAGUUUUCUUACGCCUGGUUGGUGGCUUUAGAUGGUUUAUUAUAUUUCAGUUCAAAAGGUUAGUUCAUGAGCCAGCUUGCUCUCGGCAUAAAUUCCACUGGAUGGUUUAGUUUCCAGCAAGUUCUAAAAUGGUUUAAUUGUGCCGUUGGUUCCGACGGGGAGCAAGAGGAAGAGCUUGGCGCCAAGGAAGGUUGUCUGCCCGCCCGUGAAUCUGAGAUGGCUGGGAAGAAGGAAGAGCAAGUACAUGAUAUUUGAUGGCUCUUGCAUCUGACCGAUAAUCAGGGUAGGGUGAACGAAUGUGCCAAAUCACACCAGCAACGUGUUAUUAGGGUACCAUGGAUCAUGAGCCAGCUUGCUCUCAAGAAAUAUUUUAUUAUCUUCAGAAGUUUUAACUUCAGAGCCAUAGACUUGACUCAUGGUUUAAGCAACUAAUGCUCAUGUGCUAACAAAAAGACUAAUAAAAACAAAAAGAACUUUGUAGGUACAAGCAAGGAAAAAAUAUCUAAUUUCGGAAUUGCACAGAAUUGAACAACAAGCUGAAAGGCACUGCAAUUUACUGAGAACGGCACGGCAGAAAAAACAACAGGAAUAUGGGCAUAGCCUCUUGCAUUCAAUAAAGUUAUAACAACGGGAAAAAACAACAAAAUAUGCAUAAGCAAUUCAAAACAACACCUCAUAACCAAGGCAGUGAAGCUGGGUUAUGCUGUUUUAUAAACUAAACAUGAUUUAACAUGAGCAUAGCCUCUUGCAUUCAAUGAAGUUAUAACAACUUGGUUUAUUGGAGGUGUCAAGCAUACAUCAGCCAAGGCUUAUCACUUGGAAAGUAAAAAUAUGACAAAGCAACUAGUUGAAACCAUUGGCGAAAAGACAAUCAUGAUUCACUCUCUUUUGCUUGAGCAAUUAGGUCUGCUUGCAUCUUCUUUAUCUCCAUCUCCCUUUCCAUCCUUUCUUGCUGAAAUAACAAGAACAACUUUUAGUUACUUCAAGAAAACACACUUGUACGUUUCUAAAUACUACUAACUUAUAUCCAUAUAUAUUUAUAGUACACGGAUUUGCAAAAAAACUUUUUCCAUGGUAGUGGUGAUUUUGGUUUUGGGUGUGUGUAUGUGGUUGGACCCCCUACAGGUGAUGAUGUUUUUGGUGUAAACGAACACACCAAAAGCUGAAACCACCUGUCUAUGUUUCGAUGGCACUAAUAAGUUCCAAACAACAAUUAGACAUGUAAUGCUCUCGUACCUCAAGUCCCGAGAUGAAUUUAGCCAAAUCUAAUCCACAAGAAGCAUUAAAUAUAUCAGUGUGGAAACAAUAAUUCUACCCCCAGCACCCACGCUAACAUAAAUACAAAAGGUUUUCAUCUCCCACUCUGGAAUUUCAACAGAGUUCUUCACCAAAUAUGAUUUUUUGGGGACAGUGGAGGGUGGGUGAUAUCAAAUAUUCUGACAAGCAGGUGGAAAAGUAUAGACAGAAACAUGCUUAAUGUGUUUGUAAAAUGAUGGCGAGUACCCUUACGAAAUUUAUCCUUAACAUAACCCCCAAUGAUCAAGAGUCGAAGAGUCAAUUGGGUACUGACUAUAGACUGGUCUCAAACUCUCAACUAAUCGUGACUCUUUUCGAGCACUGGUCAUCGAUUAUACUGCUAGAAAUACCAUAAAAGGUGACCAGUUAUGGUUUCAUAUCUUGAUGAUUGUUCACUGUGCAUACACUUUUUUAUGAUUGUUCAGUGCACAUACUAGUUGAAUGUAUAGGUUACAAGCUGCCCUUGAGCGAUCUACCCUUAAUAUGAGCUCCAUGUGACAGAAGGGCAAAAUGGUUAGUCUGUAAGUGAAGGUGAACCCACAUGGUAUCCGGGAGAAUAGAAGCUACAUCAGUUCACCCAGAAAGUUCCAACAAUAAUCAUGCAAAUUUCUGAAGGCAAUACCAAAGUAGAAAACAGACUAGAUGGAUAGAUUCAAGAUGUAAUCCGAGUUUCAGUGGCUUGAGUUUUCACUUUUCUGUUGAAUGAUUAGCAGCAGCAAGAAAAGGGUCCAACUCACACUGAGCUAGGAACUACUUAUUUCAACAUUAUUAUAUAUAUUUAAAAAAUUAGUUCUCCUUACUUUAGAGUAUGUAUAAAUAAAUUGAUUAUCAGAAGGUAGGCAACAUUGGCGUCUUCCUCAAUCAAUUGUUUAUAUGAUUCUAAGUUACCUUUGUGUUUAUUUAAUGCUUAUAUUAUUAUUUAUAAAAACAACUGACGAAUUGGAAUAAAAGACAUAAUAUCCAGAUAUUCGACAAUAUUGGGAAUAUUCAUGCCCCUCAUAGCUUAAAGCAAUUUUUAGUAUGUAUUAAGUUUCUGAAAUAAGUUAUGCCACAAUAAUUGACAAUUGCAUUUGCGGAGAGAUUUGUGCAAAACCAAUUUUAGUACUCUAUCCAAAUAACUAAAGAAAUAAACAAAUUUAAUAACACUGAAAUCCCUUAACUGUGACAAAAUCAUUCGGAUCAACUCGUUCUAUGGCAUAUCUAAAAAUAUUUGAAUUGUUGUACACAUAUACUAUUGUAGCUGAUACACUCUCUCUGCAAUGUAUAGCCACCAUACAUACUUACUUUAAACUAAAAAAUCAUUGCUAUGAACACACAUCUAAAUUGGACUUGUAAUUUUAGGAUUUAUAUCAAUGGACCAUUAUUUUUGUACAGCAACAUAUAUAACAAAAACACAGUACUGAAAAAGAUGUUAGAUUUAUAUUAUGGCAACUAUGCAAUAUAAUAAGAAAUAAAUAUUCAAAUCUCUUGUAUGUUUAGCUGGAAAAAAAAUGAUUUAUUACGUUAACUAAACGUGAGGGAUAACUUAACAAACAAAGUGCUUUAUUGAUGUAGUUUGCAUGUGUUGCACCAUUGGAAAUUGGAACAGGACAUGAGGCCAACCUGGAGCCAUGUUGCUUGCCUAGUAAAGGACAAUGAUGGCCGCAAGAACCAAGGCAUCAACAUGAAAGGAACAUACGAGAAGAGACAUGCGCACAUAUGGUUGUUGCAGUGACGGUUGUAAUGUCGUCUUCAUGUCUUGUCCUACUUCCUUUGGCUCCGGCGCCUGUCUCCUCAGCGAUCAUCUAGCCGAAUUCCAAGAUCGGAAGUUCAUGGUCAAAGAGCUCCGGGGGUAGCAUGGUGCUUUGGCCAGCAUAUGGGUAGCAUGGAGGCUAACUGUUUGGCUCCUUCAUGCUGACAUCUCAGAUGGCACCUACCCAGUCAGCCUCCACAAGAACGGCCAUGGACGUCACCAGAUGGCUCAUCUAGGUGCAAUGUUAACCCUGACCUCUGAGAAUGAGGCGUACACAGCUCAAGAUUUGCGCGUUCCUGCCCAGCAACUUGGACUCCAUUGUCAAAGUCGGCUGCGACACCCAGACAAUCAAGCGUAUGAUUCCUUGGUACAGCUCCGAGUAUACACAGAGGAAUUCGACGAUGUCGGCAACUUGUCCGGCCUUUCUCUACCCCGAGAUAAAAAUAUCUUUUUCAAAACCAGGAAGACUCUCCUUUUCCCAGAACGUGAGGCUUGAGGACUCUUUCUUGUAUGAUUUCUAUUUUUUGCACAGCUUCAUCCUAUCUACAUACGUGGUGGUUUUUUCUCCAAAGAAGCAGCGUCCAGCUUGAUCCUAUCUAUGUACGUGGUGAUUUUGUUUCUCAAAAGAGGCAUAGCUUUUAAAUAUUUUCUCAGAAAUUGGACGUGGAUGUUGGGACAUCAUUUUGAACAUGUCAGCUUUAAUUUUAAUUUAGCGUGUCAUCGUAUUACAAUCUAUGUACAUGAUUCCCAGAAAAUAAAAUCUACGUAGGUGAUGUUUAUUUAUUUAUUUCUCAGAAAUUAGACGUGGGUGUUGGGACACCUUUUUGAACGUGUCAGCUUAAAAAGAUUUUUUAGGGUAAAGGUUAAAAAGAUUUAAUGUGUCAUCUUAUUCCAAUCUAUGCACGUGAUUGUUUUAUAAGGAAGCAAACAUCUUUUAAUAGAUCUUGACCAUCAAAUUUUAAAUCCGAUAGCUAAAUUAAUUUGUUGAUGUGGAUUAACAUGGAGUACCUUAUGGUGUUGGAAAAUAUUUGGACAUGUCUUUGUUUGCCCUUUUAAGAGAAAGAAGUUACACAUAUUAUUUCUAUUUUUUUUGUACGUGUCAGCUUCAUCCUAUCUACAUAUGUGGUCGUUUUUUUCCAAAGAUGCAGCGUCCAGCUUGAUUCUAUCUAUGUACGUGAUGUCGUGAUGGUUCUUUUUCAAAAGAAGUAUUUUUUUUCUGAGAUGGGACGUUGCUGUUGGGACACCUUUUUGAAUCAUGUCAGCUUAAGCUUUUAUUUAACACGUCUUUUCAUUCCAAUCUAUGUACGUGAUUCUCAAAAAAAAAAUCUAUGUACGUGAUGCUUAUUUAUUUUUUCUCGGAAAUUUAACGUUUGUGUGGGGGACACCUUUUUGAACGUGUCAGCUUAAAACCUUUUUAAUGUGGCAUCUUAUUCCAAUCUAUGUAUGUUAUGUUUAUUUUUUUUAAAGGAAACAAACAUCUUUUAGUAACUCCGCCUAUGUUGUCUCAACAUAGCCGGUCCCAAGCCCGGGUAAAGGAGGAGGGUUGUGAUAGGCUUGGCGAGCCAACGUAAAAACUCAGCCACUCUUAUGGAGAUGAAACCCAAAAGAUUUUCGUUGGGGCCACCUCUAGCCUACCCCAACUUGUUUGGGACUAAAGGCUUUGUUGUUGUUGUUGUUGUUGUAAACAAACAUCUUUUAAUAGAUUUUGAGCAUUAAAUUUUAAAUCCAAUGGUUAAAUUAAUUUUGUUGAUGUGGAUUAAUGUGGAGCCUCUUAUGGUGCCUCCAAUUAGUAAAUAUAAGAUUUGGACUGACUGUCUGAACUCUCCAGCAAACUAUGAUCAUCUAGAAUGGUACCCGGACGAUUAGAAGCUACAUCGAUUCAUUGCCAAAGAAGUCCAACAAUUAUCAUGCAAAUUUCUGAAAGCACUACUCAGUAGUAGGAUAGGCAAUACCAAAGUAGAGAACAAACUAGAUGGAUAGAUUCAAGAUGUAAUCCCAGUUUCAGUGGCCUGAGUUUUCUCUUUUCUGCUGAAUGAUUAGCAGCAACAAGAAAAGGGUCCAACUCACACUAAAUUUAUCUGGACUGACUGUCCGAACUCUCCAGCGAACUAUGAUCAUCUAGCAUGGUACCCGGAUGAUUAGAAACUAUAUCAAUUCAUUGCCAAAGAAGUCCAACACUAAUCAAGCAAAUAUCUCAAGUCCCAAAUCAGUAGUAGGAUAGGCAAUACAUUCAAGAUGUAAUCCCAGUUUCAGUGGCGUGAGUUUUCUGUUGAAUGAUUAACAGAAGCAAGGAAAGGGUCCAACUCAUACUAAUUGUAUUUCGACUGACUAACUGGACUCUCAGGCAGACUAUAAUCAUGUACUCCCUCCAAUCCAAAAUAAGCGUCGCAGCUUUGAAAUGAUCAAGAUCGGAGGGAGUAGCAUUCUGUGUGAAGAGCCAAAACAGUGGGAAUAUAGGACUAGCUUCAAAUCUAUGUUAUUCUUGCAGCUGUGAAACGCUGGAAAGAACUAUUGUGGGAGGCGGAGGCCUGCGAGGUGAAUGAAGCUGAUGUACAGCGGCGGAGGUAUGCGUCAGAAUUGGACUCUGAACAUAAACACACAGGAGGUAAUGGGCGGUGUUUCCUUCCUACUGGACUAACCUUCUAUUUACAAUGGAAUACCUUGAAAUGUCUUUUGUUUAGGGGGGUUCACAGCUCCUGUUACGAUAUGAAUAUCCUAGUGCGUAUACGGCUUUCGUGCUGGGUAUGAUCAGAUACAUCUUCUAUCACCCUUAUAUGUCCCUUUGUGUGCUGCAACUCUUUAAGAAUCAUUUCUAUCUCCAUUUCUUUCUUUUUUCAAAAGAUCGAGAUGUAAAUUGUAAUCCCUGAGCAGAUCAUCGGUAACGUAGAAAAACUAACGAGUGGGGAAAUCCCCCCUGCUCCAAAUCCCGGCAUCGCACCUGGACAAACAAGGCCAGCGUACUCCCAGAAUCUACGGUUCAUCGGGUCAUGUUGGACGGGAUAUGCGGAGCUAAUCGAAGACGGGGAGGAACGAAGACCUGGUAGAUCUGGCGCGGCGAGCUAACGGAUUUAGAGGGGGAGAGGGGGGAAGAAUAGGCCGGCGAUUAGGUUACCUUCUCGUCCUGGUGGAGGGCGAUCCAGACGUGGACCUUGUCCAUGGACUCCCAGAAGAGGAACGCGCCGAAGGUCAUCCCGAAGAAGGUCGCCACCCGCACCAUCUUCUCCCUCUCCGAUCUCUGGCUCCGGCGGAUUUGGUGGAUUUGGCGACGGCUGCGCGUGGGGAUGGACGGGUUACCUCCAAUCGACGGCCGGGGAUCGGAUUUUGGGCUGAGUGGAGUGGACCGAGAGAGAGNNNNNNNNNNNNNNNNNNNNNNNNNNNNNNNNNNNNNNNNNNNNNNNNNNNNNNNNNNNNNNNNNNNNNNNNNNNNNNNNNNNNNNNNNNNNNNNNNNNNNNNNNNNNNNNNNNNNNNNNNNNNNNNNNNNNNNNNNNNNNNNNNNNNNNNNNNNNNNNNNNNNNNNNNNNNNNNNNNNNNNNNNNNNNNNNNNNNNNNNNNNNNNNNNNNNNNNNNNNNNNNNNNNNNNNNNNNNNNNNNNNNNNNNNNNNNNNNNNNNNNNNNNNNNNNNNNNNNNNNNNNNNNNNNNNNNNNNNNNNNNNNNNNNNNNNNNNNNNNNNNNNNNNNNNNNNNNNNNNNNNNNNNNNNNNNNNNNNNNNNNNNNNNNNNNNNNNNNNNNNNNNNNNNNNNNNNNNNNNNNNNNNNNNNNNNNNNNNNNNNNNNNNNNNNNNNNNNNNNNNNNNNNNNNNNNNNNNNNNNNNNNNNNNNNNNNNNNNNNNNNNAAAGCUCUUCUAAUGUAUAUUUUUCUCAAGAAAAGUAUUGUUUUUACUCAACUGAAGUUCUAGUUUUUUUUUUUUGCAGAGCAGAACAAGUUCUAGUUGCUGAGCUUAUACUCGAUAAUUGUUUGAAAUAUGAAGUGAUUCGAUUCUCAGCAGCGAAGGGGAGGAGCGAGGCGGGAGGCUUGAGCAGAACGUAGCAAACUACCGAGUAUGUAUUUUUGGAGCAUGGGUGUCACUUUUAUUUUUGAAUUGUUUAAAAAAAACACAUUUCAAGUUUCAAAACAUGCUUAAACAAAUCGUACAUGGUAAUAUGAAUGUAUACUACACAUGUGCGAAGUUUGAUGAUGAAAAAUAUGUUAAACACAUGAGCUACGUAAAAAUGGAAAAUUCAUGAUUUGAAAAUGCGACUGUGCACUGUUCACCACUAAAAACCCACGUUUUGUAUCUUUGUGCGUAGCUCACAUGUUAACUUAUUUCAUCAUCAAACUCUGGGCACCCGUGUUAAGGCUACGAAUUUGCCUUGGCGUUUCUUUAAACUUCAUAUGUUGAUUUUCGAACUAUGAAUGAAGUGCUCAGUGUUGCAAAUUGACCUUUUAGCAAACUAUUGGGCUGCAUUAUCGAGCAGGUCCAAAGGGUGAAGGUGUAUGAGAAAAAAAGACCAUACGUUUCGAGAGAGCAAGUGCGAAGCACUGAUUCUGAAUGCAGAUAAUAUGGGCACUGAUUCUGAAUGCAGAUAAUAUGGGCAUAACCAACAUGGGAGGACGAUGCCAUCUUCGCAACUGCCAAACUAGUCAUUACUAGUAAAAUGCCCGUGCGUUGCUACGGGCUGCAAUGCUUAUAACAUGUCGGUGCGUGGUCGACCAUUUUUCGGAUAUAGGACAAUGGGCAUGUGUUGCAACAGGGUAUAUAUUUUCUUAAAGCUCAACACUAACCGUGUCUAACAUAGUUAUAGGAACCUCGUGCACAUUAGACAACAUGUCUUGCACAUUAGUAAAAUGCCCACGAAAUGUUCUGUAGAUGAAAAGAACACUCACAUAUUUUGUCCCUCAUAUUUUAUUCUGAGUUCAUGGAUAAAUGUGCCAAACAAAGACACUAUUGCAUUUGCGUGCUGCCAAAUUCUUAAGAAAUGUUAUAAUUCCAUGGUCUUUAUUCUUCAUUGUCGAUAGUGUCAGCUCUGCUGGAAGGAUCAACCAUUAAUACACACAAAUAUUAUGAAUAACAUAAUCUUAAACCUAAGGCAUUACUUCCAGAAACAAAUCAAUGAUUUUAGAAAUGCAGGAUUUGUCCAGCCUGGGAACCAAACAACAACUUCAACCAAAGCAUGGGUGAAAAAAAUGAAAGGAAGACGAGGUAGACAACAGCAUUGACUGCGGCACCAGCUAGACUCAGGGAAGUGACGGGAGGCGAGGGGAUAGGGGAAAGGGAGGACAUGCGCCUCUCACACCGAAGCAAUAUGCCACAGAAGACACUUGGUGAUCCCAUUGAUCCAUACCACAUCCUGUGUGAGGUUAAAUAGUACCACUUUCUCUGUAAAAUCUGCAUGACCAAAAAAAAUUCCAGUCAACAGGAUUUGGCAUGACCAAACAUAAUAGUUCGGAUCAACAAUAAGAGGCGAAUCAUGAAUAGAAGCAUAACACCUGUGUACCAGAACCAUUCUUCUAGACAUGUAAUCAGUAAAAUUUCCAGCUCAACUAAAUACUAAGAAAAGAUAACCAAACAAACUCAAAAAUUAAAAUUGAAAUGAAGUCAUUGGCAUCAACUGCAGGAUUCACCUACAAUAGCUUAAAAAAAUGCUGUGUAGCUCAAAUUUUCAGCACAACAACACAUUCUCCACAAUAGCAUCGAAUUUCCGCAUCUUAUUUGGAAAAUAAUGAACAACAUACACAAGAGAUUGAGAGGGGAAGAUAUUUCAUCAUCGUUACCUUGUGGUUACUGACGGAUAGAGCAGCACGUUGCAUAGGAGAUCAGAGCGUGCUGCAGGGAGGAGGACCGUGGCACAAAUGAGAUCGAGGCGGAGCUCGAACUCGAAGGACGCUUCAGAACACCUGGCAUAACAUCAUAAACAUUUUCAGAGACUGGAGAUGCUGCUGGCACUCGAGAUUCAUUUUUCACAACAGCAUCUGAAUCCUCCAACUCCAGUAACACAUUGCACGAGUGGAAAUCCUAAAUCGAUGCCUACUUAUUCAUGUCUCCAGUCCGAACUAAGAGUAAUCUAGGUUACACACGCAGUGUAACGUGUCCAGUUAGGAAAAUUUGGAAAGGUUAGGAAUUUUUUAUUGUGAGAGUAAAAAAAUCAACGUGAGGAGAUAUGGUGGUGGGAUGUGAGACAAAAAUAAACCGAACGAAAAUAAACCAGACGAAAUAUAGCCAGAUGAAAAAAAAUCAUGGAUGCAAUCCUACCAACUCCUUUAUUAGGAGUAGAGAUCAGCAAAAGGCAAAAUAUAUUGUGCCAGGGUGAUAUGGAAGCGAAGGAAACAAAAGGUUCCCUAACGAAGGGGCAGAAUAUUUUACCUGAGAAACAUAACCACAAAGGAUUGCACAUAGAACCAAAGUGAUGAACCUGACGUCUCCUGCUUCUGUAAAGGCCCAAAAUAGCCCUCCAAAGCCGAACAGAAGAGGAACGUUUGCAGCAUAUUGUGUCACUGCCCAACUGCACAGCAGGUCACACUCUGAAAUGUUUCGUUUCUAAAUACACGUAUGCAAGCAUUUAGAAUGUUACUACUACUCGGCACUGGAAACGAGCAGUACCUGCCAACAAUGUUGACGACAGAUUCUUUCUUGUUCUUAUCAGCGCCAGUAUCUGAAUCAUAAACGUCAUUGCUGCUAGUGUAAAAAUACAAUACGUUCAGAGCAGGGAAAUCAAUGGUUGAACACUGCUAUUGAUAUCAACAUCGAUUUACUUGUCAGAGUGUAUGUUGUAGUAAUAUUUUUAUGCAUGUGAGUUUUACCUCAGAUUGAGCCAGGUGAUCACAAGGAUAGCAGCAGCCAAGAGGCCAAAGUAGCGUCUGGCAAAGAACAGCCCCGCAUGGUUAUAAGCAGCAGCAGUGCCUACCUGCAAGUGCAAGCAACCGUCAAUGCAAAUGUGUAAGGUGAUCGUAGUUGCAAACCACCAAAUACUGCGAUCAAUACUCAUUCUGAUUUGCAUGCCAGCACACUAACAGGUUAUGCAAUUCUGAAUUGCAGAGCGAAGCAUUGGCAAGGGCAAUGGGGAGGGAAGAAUUUGGGGAACUCACGGUGAGUGGCACGAGCGCCACGGAGUAGAUGGGCAGCUUGGCCGCUCUCCAGAGCAGCGUCGCGCGUGAGAGCUCGCCGGCGUCCCCGUCUCCGCCGGACGCCGCUGCGGCCGAGCACCGCACUCGCCGUAGCGCGCGACGCCUUCUCGCGGCCUCUACAGAGACGGCGACGCUGCCACGGGGAGAGGAAGGCGCGUGAGGGGAGACGAGGAGAGGCGCGAGUGCAAUGCCGGCGAGCGGCAUCGGCUCGGAGGCGUUGGCUGGGGGAGCUUAGCUUUGUUCAGGAGCGGCACUCCAUCUCCGUCGGCAGCUGGGAGCGCGGGUGCAUGGAUAAGGCUGAGGGGAACGGAGACGUCGACGCGCGGCAGGCCGUGGGCGGGCGGGCGAAGCGAGAAAGGUUUUUCUUGAGUUUUGUUUUAGCUCGUCACGUAGCGCGACCUCCUCAUUGCCUGCUGCCACCCCGCGCUACCGCCUCCGUGCGCAGGUUCCGCUCGUGGAGCGUGACGAGCGCAUGGCCUACCUUCACGGCGGCCUGGUCCUCCCCACUAUCGUGAAGCUGGCACGCAUCGCCGCCGCAAUUGCCCAGGAUGGCGGAUGAAGAUCCUGCUACAGCGACGUGGGUGAGGGAUGCAGCCGAGGAUGGAGGGAUGAUUUCCGUGGCUAACCCCUCUCUAUAACAACCACCUUUUUUUGCGAGGAUAUAACAAUCACUUAGAAAAGGCAAAGAUCAAUGCAUUAGGAUAAUUAGGAUUUGUAAUUGAUUGUCAUAAAACUAAAUUUUAUUAAUCGAUAACGUGUUAUCCGUCCCUGCCCGUUUAUAACGUGUCUAGUUAGGAAACUUUGAAAAAGUUAGGAAAGUUUUUAUUGUGAGGGUAAAAAAAUCAACGUGAGGAGAUAUGAUGAUGGGGUGUGAGACGAAAAUAAACCGAACGAAAAUAAACCAGGCGAAAUAUAACCAGACGAAAAUAAACCGUGGACGCAAUCCUACCAACUCAGACAUUAGGAGUAGAGAUUCAGUGAAGCACCCGGAGCUAUUUGCUCAAACAUACUACUAUAUCAUCCGUCAUGCAAAAUCAAAAAGGAAGGGUUCCAAGUGUUCAACUCCAUAAUUAUGUUUUAUACUAAGAUAAGAUAGAGUACGUACAGCGGUACAGGGGAAGUUCUAAUUAAAGUUCAACACUGCAAGGCUCCAGGCAUAAGUAGCAACAGACAUUGGCAUGCAUAAACUCACCAAUCACAGGGGCAUUUAUAUAUAUCGAUAUAACACACCGAUGGAAGCUAACAUAGAUACUAAUUCACCACUUAG